rnacentral:lncRNA from 1 species
GAGGUAGAUCUAUUAAUUUUAGAUAUGUAUUUUUGUGUGUUCUAUAAAUGUAGAUUUAUCUAAUCUUCCACUCAUUUUCUCUAUUUUUAAGUCAUUUGAACGUUUUUGGAUAUGCAGGUUUUUCAGAUCUGGAUUUGAUGUGCAGGUUUUUCAGAUCUGGAAGACUUCUGGGACGACUUACAUGUUAGUCGUCUGGAAGUCGUCUGGAAGUCGUCUGGACUUCUUGGAAGUCUUCUGACAAAGUCGUCUGGACUUUCAGGAAGUCGUCUGGACUUCCAGGAAGUCGUCUGGACUUCCAGGAAGUCGUCUGGACUUCCGGGAAGUCGUCUGGACUUCCAGGAAGUCGUCUGGACUUCCAGGAAGUCGUCUGGACUUCCAGGAAGUCGUCUGGACUUCCAGGAAGUCGUCUGGAUUUUUCUGAGCGUUUUGGUAAGUUCUUAUGUCUGAUUUUUCUUCAUUUGGUAAGUUCUUGUUGUAUAAAGUUCUUACUUUUUUCCCAAACUAAAACUCUCCAAACCCACUCUAAUCUCUUUGACUUGAAAACACCAAACUUUAUAUGAAUUUUUCAAUUUUGUCUCAUGUCUUUCUUACUAAUCUAUUUUUUUUUUGCAGGUUUUUAAUUAGAUGGUACUCAUCUUCCACUAAUUUGAAGGUAGAUCUAUUAUUUUUAGAUAUAUAUUUUUGUGUGUUAUGUAAAGGUAGAUUUAUCUAAUCUUCCACUCAUUUUUUUCUGUUUUUAAGCCAUUUGAACGUUUUUGAAUAUGCAGGUUUUUCAGAUCUGGAUUUAAUAUGCAGGUUUUUCAGAUCUGGAAGACUUCUGGGACGACUUACUUGUUAGUCGUCUGGAAGUCGUCUGGAAGUCGUCUGGAAGUCGUCUGGACUUCCUGUAAAGUCGUCUGGAAGUCGUCUGAACUUCCUAAAAGUCUUCUGGCAAAGUCGUCUGAACUUCCUGGAAGUCGUCUGGACUUUUUAGAAGUCGUCUGGACUUCUUAAAAGUUGUCUGGUCUUGUCUACUCAAGUGGAAUCCAAGCUUGUCUUUGUAGAUGAAUGAUCUAUAAUAGUUUUGUUUGUGGUCUGUUUUGUGAAUUGCAUGUAUACUCUUUUAGUUGUGAAUUUUUUGUAAAAUCAGUAAUAAUGUUUUCCAAGAUGUAUUAAAUGUGCUAACAAUGUGUUUACACAUUUACAAAUCAAUGAAAUAAUAGACUUCAGUAGCCUUUUUCUUAUCUUUGGAUCUCUCAUAUCCAAUAAUAAACUCCAAUGGCCUUUUUCUCAUCAUAAUAAACAAGAAUGUUGGUAAGAGAUGGAAACAAACAAUAGUAACUAGUCAAAGCAUAUCAUAUUUUUUAUAAGUUUGCAUUGAAAAACUUAGUCAAAUUUAGUAAAACUAAGGGAGAGAACAUAUUUUGUAAAUAUGAGUUUUACAUAUCUUGAAGUUACUUAUCACUCUUAAAAAUACAAGUUAUUCAAAAACUAAGGUAGAAGACUUAAAAACUAGUGGAGAAGACGCGGACGACUUCAAUCUAAGUUGUCUAGACGACUAAACUAUAUGUCGUCUGGUCAACGCAGAGGUUAUUUUUGCAAUUGACUUUGAAAUCUGUUAUUUCGGACGACUGAAAGUUAAGUCGUCUACUAUUGUUUGGUUAAAAAAAAACUCCAAAAAAGCUAGACGACUUACAUUUCAGUCGUCAGAGGUUAGUUUUGCAUUUGACUGGAUUAUUUCAGAAGUUUGACUUUUUGGACGACUUACAUUUCAGUCGUCUAGUGAAAAUUAAAAUAAUAAUAUUUUUUUUAAAGUAGACGACUUAAAGUUAAGUCGUCGUAGGUUAGUUUUGCAAUUGAAAAAAAAAAACUUCAAGAUUUAAUUAUACACAGACGACUUAUAAUUCAGUCGUCCACCAGACGACUGAAAUGUAAGUCGUCCAGGAUUUACGAGGUUUGACCAGAAUCUCGGAAAAAAGUCCUGGACGACUUACAAUUAAGUCGUCUGGUGGACGACUGAAUUAUAAGUCGUCUGUGUAUAAUUAAAUCUUGAAGUUUUUUUUUUCAAUUGCAAAACUAACCUAUGACGACUUAACUUUAAGUCGUCUACUUUUAAAAAAAUAUUAUUAUUUUAAUUUUCGCCAGACGACUGAAAUGUAAGUCGUCUGGGGAAGUCAAACUUCUGAAAUUAUCCAGUCAAAUGCAAAACUAACCUAUGACGACUGAAAUGUAAGUCGUCUAGGUUCUUUGGAAUUUUUUUUGAAACCAAACAAUAGUAGACGACUUAACUUUCAGUCGUCUCAGGUUACAGAUUUCAAAGUCAAUUGCAAAAAUAACCUCUGCGUUGACCAGACGACUUCCAGGUAAGUCGUCUACAGCCAGACGACUGAAAGGUAAGUCGUCUACAGCCAGACGACUUCCCAAGUAAGUCGUCUGACGAACAGAUCUGGAAAAAAACUCGAUGUCAUAGCUUAAAUUGGUGAGAUAAGUUCCUUAGCAUACAUAAGGCUUCUCCAAGCACACAAAAUCACAAACGAAAGUCACCCACCCAUAAUCGUUGGCUUCUAUGACUCUAUGAACCAUAAAAAUUUUAGAAUCAAAAUCUUGGGUUUUUUUGGCUCAUUGUGGAGAGAAAGUGAGAGAUAUGUUGUGUUUAGUUCACAAGAAUGGAAAAAGAAGAAGGGUAAAUCGAUUUUGGGAGCAUUAAGAGCUUCAAAUUGGUUGUUCAUGGUGGUUGUGGUAUUGAUGACAAUGGCAAUCUUGUAAUUACUUGAAGAUGAUGAGGGUGAGAGAGUAAAAAUGUCAUUUUCGAAAAAAAAAAAAAAAAAAAAUUGAUGGCAUUUUCGUAAAUUAUAUGAACUUGUGGGGUGAUUAAGGCAAAACCAAUUUUCAAAAAAAAGAGAGGUUAGUUUUGUGUUUGACUUUAAGUUGUAGGUCAAUUUUGCAAAAAUCUAUGGCAUUCUGAUAAACCAAUGAUAUAUUUGUUCAAUAUCUUGUUGAAUUUUCUUUUAUUGUUUUCAUUAAUUUUAAUCAUUUCCGCAAUAUGUAGAAUAUAUCAUUUACUCUCUUUUUGUAAUAUGUAUAAUCUCUAAGAAAAAAACAAAUAGCAAUUUAUACUUUUUCGAAAAUCUCCAAACAAGUUUUCAAAAGAAAAUUACAUUUUCAAAGUUACUAGUUAGAAAAAAUUACAUGUUUUUUUGUCAUCGACACAUAAUACUAAACAAUUACUUUAUGAUGGAGUUAAGUUAGUUUCAAACUCACAACUGUUAAUUAAGGUUAGCAUGCACAAUCGUUAAACAACUUAUAGUUUAAUAGAAAAUAAGUCAAUUCCUUAGUUUUAAAAGAUUUAAUGAUGAAUUAACCUCUUGUCAUGGUUUUAGAUAUUGAACACAAGACCUUGACUAAGUCUACCACACAUCCAUAACAUGAUCAAAGUCAAAUGAUGAAAAUCAAUACUAAAUAUAUGUUUCCUAAACCUUCUCUACUUAUCAUUUUUUAAGAUAUUGCAACUAAUUAUUUUUAGAACAUUAGUAUGCAAUAUGGUGAUAAACAUAUAAAUUACCCCCAUUGACCAUAACCACCACAUUAAAUUUGCUUAGUAGAUAUCACAUAAAAUUGCCGAACUACGGAAAAAAAAAUUUAUUCAAGUUCAAUUCUUUUCAGAUGAUAUGGUUUAAAUUUGAUUAAUUAUUCUUACCAUUGUUUUUAUUGUCAUAUGUUUCUAAACUGACAUGCAUUCUACUAUUGUUUUGAGCUAACAAACUCAUGUUGCAGAUAUCUUUUCUUGUAUUUCCGCUUUUGAGUUUGUGUGUUUCGCAUGGAUCCCUCGUGAGAGGAACAUGUUUGCGGAUGCUUUAGCCAAAGAUGCAUUGACUGCAUCAGGACAAUUUGUGGUUGAUGGUGCUGUUAUUGCCCUCAACUAACUCCUCUUUAUUUUAAUAUAAUCGGUGUUUCAAAAAAAAAAGUAAUAUAUGAAGAUUCUAAGAAACCAUAUGAGAUCUACAGAUCCAAAAAAUGACUGAAAGAAUAAGAGUAGAAGUAAUGCAACAAAAGUUUGAUGGGCCAAAGAGUAUGUAAUGAUAAUUUCGUCUCAAAUAUCACUAGAUCAUGUGAAGAAUCAAGUUUUCUUGUCAUUUUAGACAUCGAUCGAAACCUGUCCUCCAACUCUCGAUUCAAUCACUUUUAUGAAUCGGUUUCUAAAUUUUUGGUAAGUGAGUUUGCUUAUGCUAUAACCAAAUUCUAUUUUGUUUAAACAAAACACAAUCAACCAAAAGUGUGUGGAAUUGAUAACAAAACCGGUUCCAAUUUUAUUUAAAAUGAGGCCCAAUAACGGCCCAAUACCAGAAACAGCAGUAUAUUUCAUGUCCAAGAUACUCGCGCGCCCAUUCCAUACGCUCCUUCCGCGACCGAACCCAAACGAUCUCGUCUCUCUUCCCUCGAAAACUCUGAAUACCCGAACCGAUUCCCUCACCAGCGAUCUCAGCUCCUCGCUUGAUAUCCCAUGGCAGCUCACAUGAAAUGCCCCGAACUCCCUCGGCCAUUGCACCAACGGAUCCACCGACCCUUCUCUCCUCGACGCCAAUAGCCUCAAAUCAAUAUCCGCUGGGAUUAUAUGACGUGAACCGCAAGGUUCACCUCAGGAAUGAGACUCAGGGAGCGUGAGGUCUGCAACCUUGAUGGAUCGCUUAAUGAUCACGGCCGGCGAGGAUCUUGUUUGCUGUGGAAAAGAUCAUUUGGCUCUACGGAUGGGAGACGGAGGAGGAGGUGGUGGAGUCAAUUAAGAGUCGUUCAAUGGCUCCUGAUUCGCAUCAGAGCCAUUGAAUGAUCAUAUAUUCAUAUGGUUCUCUAACUUCUUUUCCGCUGCGAAGAUUUGAAUGUCAGAUUGGAAAAAAGCUUUGAGAAGUUGAAGAUGUUGCCAGCUUGGAUUUGGGCUAACGUGUGGGCCGCGUUUGAUUUUGACCCCGUCUACUUGUUCUGCUUCGAAGUUGCCAAAUGAUCUCAAGGACGAGACAAACCUGAGCUUUACUUCAAAUGGGUUAGCUUUAGUGAAACCUGGUGUAAGAACCUUUGAAUAAAUUUGAAAGUAUAAAACCUAAACCAUAUAAAUAGCUAUAUUCGACUAAAAAUAAGCCUCGAAAGCAAACUAUAGUUUUUUUACGGAUAGCAUUUAUUAACUAUUUGGUUUCUUAAAAAAAUAUUUGUUUUGAAAAAGAAAAAGAAAAUCUUUGACAUCUACAUUACUGAAUUCAAAUAUUGAACAAAAUUUAGUCUAUCAAUGAAAGAACAAAAUCUCCUAUUAAUCAAUUUUUCUUAAAAUGUUUUUAGGUUGUUGAGUGUAUCAGUGUAUGGUAAGAAAUAAAUAAUACAAAAGUAAUAUUGAAAAUGUAAAAACAUGUGAUUGGAUCAAAUAUUUUAAUAUUCACUUUCAUAUCUUCACUUUUAGUUGUAUUAAAGAUAAUUAAGCCCCAUAAACUACGAUUUUCCAACAAAAAAGAAUCAUAUAUAUGGAAAGAACAAUAUAACAUGUAUCCCGACGUUGCCAUGAAUGAUCAAACAUAACAGAAACAAACACUAUAAAGUUAGUUGAUAACAACCCCAACCUAAUCGAAGGGUCGUUAUUUCAAAUAGAUAUGUAUUACAAGGGUAUAUCAUUAUAGCUAUUGGAUGUCUCUGAGUUCCAUCUUGUUUUCCUGGAGUGAUUAAAAUAUAAAAGUCUGUACCAACCAAGUUUCGUUUUAAAAGUUUAAGAUAAGUGGACCAACUAAGUUAACAAGUGUAAAUUCUACAUUUUUUACUUUGCAAAGAAAAGUUGAUCACAAGUGUGGUGAGUGUGCAUUAUUGAAGUUGAAGGGCAUGCAUGUGAUUAUACACUAAUUGGUUAGUCAUAGCAUCUUCCGUACGUUAGUAAGCUUCGCUAAUGGUCCCCAUUUGAUUUUAUAAUUUGUCCCAUGAGAUUUUGGGCAAUAUAUAAGAUGACAAGUUACACUAUCAACACGAAUAGGACGCAGAGCUAUAGGAACUAGGAAGGAUAUUCUUGUAUUAAACUUAAUACAUUGAAAACAGUUGUUUAUUACAAACGAUAUAAUUGUAUAUAGGUUUGGCAAUAGGGAGACAUGGAACAAGUUUUGGUGACAUCGAAGCUGUCGCUAUCAAAGAAGAUGUAAUGAAAGUAUCAAAUAGCUUACUAACUCAUAUGUAUGGGUCUGAGUAGACAAUCCCACACCGCCGCUAAUGAUUUUGUUAUUUCAAAAUUCUUCACUUUAUCGAAGAUAUUAACUUUUAUGUUAGAGAAUUGCAGCUAAAAUGCCUUUAAGAUGACACCAUCAUUGAUUUUGUAUCUUUUACAUUAUCAAAGAAAUUUAUAUUUAUAAAAUGUAAAUUGCAACUAGACGCCCUUAAUCCCUUUCUACGAUGUAAUUAUAAUUAUGAUGUUUAUCCUUAUGUAAAUAUUGUGGAAAAGUGAUCCAAAUGAUUUUUUCUGUAAAUUUAAUUCUUGUAUAUGUAAAUUGAUAUUUUUUUGGUUAAGAAAAAUAAGAAUAACUAUAUAAAUAUAUUCCAAUAAAUAAAAGUGAAAUUAUUUUGUGACAGAGACCAAAACACGAAAGUGUAGGUAUAAGAAUACGCAAUGUAAAAGUUUAUUCUAUAAGAACCCAUAUAUCAUAUACGUAAAAACUAACGUAUGUACAUCUAAUGAUAAGUAAGAUAUAUGAUGAUGGUGUCUAUGGAUGGUGGAGAAUCUAUACAUCUAAUAUUCUGACAACCAACUCUCGUGAUCUAGCCAAACUAUCUAACAAAAUCAUAUUGCUCUAACUCUUGUUCUUGUUGGUUACAUAAAGCAAUAAUUAGGCGAAAAGGGUUCAAAACCCUGUUGAGAAUAAGUUUCACGGUUUUACCAAGAGACAAACCCAUCAAAUGAUUUUCGAAUUUUGAAACCAAGAUAUAUCCAAUACGAUCAAUCUAACCCUGUUGAGGAACUCAGAACGUCAACAAGUACAUCAGCUGCAAGUACCAUGUGUCAAUCACACUUCUCAUUUUCCUAUGCACCGAACCAGAAAAAAUCUUCUUCACUAUCUAUAUGUUGGGAGAACGUGAAACACAAACUGCAAACAUGUGUAUCGAUGAUAUACAAUUAUUAGUCUUAGAUUUUUGUGAAACUAGUUCUUGACUGGAGUUUUAUACAUUCAUUAUUAUACGAAGUUUAAACUAGGUGUAGCAAUAGAUAAUAAUAAUUAAACCCAAGCAUGGUUUAUCUAAAGAUGAUAUACAUAGAGAGUUCCCAAAGCUUUUUACUUCUCCACUUUCAUCAUCGGUGGCAUUCUCAUCUGAUAGGCCCUUGAGCAUUUUAAUCACACACACACACACAUAUAUAUAUAUAUAUAUAACUGCUUCUUUUUGAGAAAUAUAGGUGAUCAUAACUGCUUUGUUGUCUCUCUUCAUUGCCAGAAUUGAACAUCUAGCUAUACAUUUAGCGUUAUCAAGUAAAUCAUAUUGUCUAGCGUCUAACAAAAUUUGGUUUAAAAUGUAUUAACUACAAGUCUUAAUGAAACGAAGGAAGUAAACUAUUGUCAAAAGUUAUAUAGGAAAGAAACAUUCAAACACUAAUCUAAAAGAGACGAAUAUAAUUAAAGGCAAGAGUUGGCAAAUAUUUUAUCCACCAAAGUGAAGUCAUAUUAUAUUUGAUUUUUUACUAUAAGUGUAAGCCUUUCUUAUUUUUUUUGUCAAGCUUGCUAUAAGUAGAAAAUAAAGUAUAAAGGAAACACUUUAGUUAAUUCGUUCAGUGACUUCUGUCUAAGAUAACUGUGUGGAAGUGUAUAUAUAUAUAUUAAGAAGAUAACACUUAACUCAUGUCUAUACAUACAUACGAAGAAACAGGUUCCGGGAAGAAAAAAAUAGUCCUACACAUACAUACAUAUUUUUUAAUGGAAAAGGCGAGUAAAAUUGUAAAGUAAUUGAGAAUAAUUAUGGUGGACUAAUGGAAGUGAACAUAAAUACGAGGGGAAGGAACAUAAACAUUCUCCUUCUCUCUCACACUCCCAGACACACACUCGUUCCAGUUUUCGUAGUUACUAACAUAUCUUUUUGUUAAGUGAAGUGUGAUAAAUAUAAUAUACAAACAUCAAUAUAAAUGAGCAUGUGCAGAUCGAACAUGAAAAGCAGUGAGUCUGGAGAGAUUGUAAACGGAGAAUGCGAUGUUUCAACGUCCGUAAAAGAAGAAACUAGUGGCAACGCCAAAUUCUCCGCUGGUCUCCGUCGCAUCCCUUUCAACGAGGCUUGUUUCUAUCUCCUUCUUGUUUACAUUUUCGUCCACAAAGUAUUUUUUGAUUAGGUUGGACAAUGCUUACUGUUUUUUUUACUAAGACAAUGCUUACUGUUUGAUUCAUACUUCUCGUGUGUUUUCAUUGGUGAAAACUAGUUUUCGUGAUUCAAGAUCUUAUUCACAUAAUAUAGAUACGUUAUCUACGUUUUUUAUACUCUACAUUUUCGGUCACUUUUUCAGGUUUUGGGGUGUAAAUUAUAUGGAAUUCUUGGAACUUGAUCUUAGACUGGACUGAAUGCCUGCUUUUGACUGUUUUAAUAGCAAUUUAAUGGAAAGUAAUGUAUCUCUUUUAGAAUCAAUUUGAAGAAAACUUCAAUAUUUUCACUUAGUUAACAAGUAUAUUGUCAUCCAUUAUAUGUAACUGUUGUCUAUGUAUAUAUGAUGUAUGAAUGUGUGUGUGUUGAUAUUUAUAUAUAUGAAUAAAGCGUCACUAGUAUGAUAUGCAUCCUCAGUUUCAUGGACUGAGAUAGAUGCUUUGUUUUGGGGUUGUACUUACUUAGAAAAGUUUUCUAUAUAUGUUUCCUCAUUAUAUAUAUUUUUAUUAGCUCAUUUAGUUAGUACAAAGUACUUUAUUAUCUUAUUAGUUCUGUUUUAAAUAUAAUCUACUUACUUUUCAUUUACUUUCUUGAAAACUCUUAACUUAUUUUCUUUUUGAUAUCUCAAUUAUAGUUCAUUAUAUUUUUUAUGAUAUAUGAAUUCCUUCUUAGACGAUUUUAUGAUAUCACAAUUAAAGUUUUCUAUAUAUGUUUCCUCAUUAUAUAUAUUUUUCUUAGCUCAUUUAGUUAGUACAAAGUACUUUAUUAUCUUAUUAGUUCCAUUUUAAAUAUAAUCUACUUACUUUUCAUUUACUUUUCUUGAAAACUCUUUAGUCAUUUUCUUUUUGAUAUCUCAAUUAUAGUUCAUUAUAUUUUUUAUGAUAUAUGAAUUCCUUCUUAGACGAUUUUGUGUUUGUAAAGUAUUGAUAUUUCUAGUGAAAAUCAUAAAAUGAAAGAUAUCUAAGCUGAUUUGUUUUCAAAAAGAAAAUAAAAGGUGCGUUUUUUAGAACCCAUGAUGACUUUUAUUAAAAAAGAUCCUAGAAUGUUGGUACAGUUAGUCAUUCGCUUUUCUGUCACUAGUGAAUUUGAUUAUUCAGUUCUAAAAGUUAUAGAAUUUAAACCUUUUUUCUCUUCUUUUUGAACUUUCUCCUUCCAGUCCCAGUGGCCAUGUGAUGCGACCAUCUUCCUCGUGCUUCCAAAUUACUCUUAAUUUUUAAUGAUAAAUAUUAUUUUCGUAGUAUAUGUAAUAUCGUUCUGUUGAUCACAAUAACAAUUUACUUUAAGCCUACUUUUUUUUAAUACAAAGAGCGUUUUGUACUUGAAAUGUAAAAAAAUAGUCAAAUACUAUAUUAUACAAUUUGUAAAUUGGAAAUUUAUUUUUUUUUUCUCAACACUUGUUUAGUUUUGUUUAUAGAACGAGUACUAAUGAGUGGGUAUAUACAGUACCAGUCCUGAGGGGAAGCCAUAGAAUUAUAGAAGUAUGUGUUUCCAGCCUUGUUUACGAUAAAUAAAUAUCCACGUCCGCAAAUUUAACAGAAUCUCUUGUAGCUCAGUUGGAUAAUAACAUGCAAAUAUCAUGAGAGGUGAAAGUCAUUUUUCAAUAUUUUUGUUACCAUUUAUUAUUUUGGGCUUCCGACCCCCGAGUCAGUGGCGGAUGUAGCCAAUUUUUUUGUUGGGGGGCAAGUUACAAGUAAACAUAGAAAUUAGAGGUAGAAUAUAAAUAUGAGUGAUGUAUCAUAUCUAAUGAUGCACAAAGAUAGACAUUAAACAUAAAGGAAAAAUAACUAGUUUUUUUUGUUUUGUUAAUGUCAAUAUAAUUAUCUCUCGCGUCUCAAUUAGUAUAUAAUUAUAGUACAAUGAAACCUCUAUACAUUAAUAAAUUAAUGAUGCUGAGACUAUACUAAAACUAUAAUUUUUUAUUAAUUUAUAAAUAUAUUAAUUUAUCGAUAUAUUAAUUAAAUCAAAAACUCAAUUUAGAACUAUAAAAUUAUAUUAUUUUAUACAGAUUUUUAGUAUAUAUUAAUUUAUAAAAUAUUAAUUUAAAAAGGUUAUACACAUAACAUUUUCUUGAAUGCGUUUUGGUACAAGUCUAGAACAGUAAAAUAAUAAAUAGUUGUUCAAUAAUUGAAAAAACUAACGAAAAUGUCACAACUUUUUUUCCAUGCAGGUGGGAGAGGAAAUGGCAUCGCUAACAAAAAUAGCAUGCCCGAUCGUGAUGACAUCACUCCUCAUUUUCUCCAGAUCAUUAAUCUCAAUGUGGUUUCUAAGUCACCUCGGGAAAGUUGAACUCGCUGGCGGUGCACUCGCCAUGGGCUUCGGAAACAUCACUGGAGUCUCGGUACUCAAAGGUCUUUCCGUUGGUAUGGACCCAAUCUGUGGCCAAGCCUUUGGAGCCAAACGUUGGACCGUACUUAGCCACACGUUUCAGAAAAUGUUCUGCCUCUUAACUGCCGUUUCUAUACCAAUAGCCGUUGCAUGGCUCAACAUCGAACCCAUAUUCCUCAGGUUGGGUCAGGACCCCGACAUAACCCGUGUCGCAAAGAGUUACAUGGUCUUCUUCGUCCCUGAGUUACUAGCUCAGGCCAUGCUCCACCCGCUCCGAACGUUCCUCAGAACGCAAGGCUUAACGUCACCGUUGACCAUAUCAGCGAUCAUAUCCAUUCUUCUACAUCCUCUAUUUAACUACGUCUUCGUCGUGCGUAUGCGUUUAGGUGUUGAAGGUGUCGCGGUCGCGAUGGCCUUCAACACUAUGAACAUCAACGUGGGACUGCUCGUCUACACGUGUUUUUCGGACUCUCUAAUCAAACCGUGGGAAGGACUUGCUUUGCGGUCGCUUUUCCGCGGUUGGUGGCCGCUGCUUUCUCUAGCCGCACCAAGCGCUAUCUCGGUGUGUUUGGAGUAUUGGUGGUAUGAGAUAAUGCUUUUUCUUUGUGGGCUUCUCGGUAACCCUAAAGCAAGUGUUUCGGCCAUGGGGAUAAUGAUUCAGACAACGGGGCUACUCUACGUAGUCCCAUUCGCUAUAAGCACGGCCAUUGCGACUCGUGUAGGACAUGCGCUUGGUGGCGGCCAUCCUACACGGGCGCAAUGUACAACCGUUAUCGGUCUGAUACUCGCGGUAGCGUACGGGCUAUCAGCUGCUGUCUUUGUAACCGCGCUCAGGUCGGUUUGGGGGAAGAUGUUUACGGAUGAAACCGAGAUUCUUGGGUUGAUCUCGUCGGCGCUUCCGAUCUUAGGGCUUUGUGAAAUCGGAAACUCGCCGCAGACAGCGGCUUGCGGAGUCUUGACAGGCACGGCGAGGCCUAAAGAUGGGGCACGUGUUAACCUAUGUGCGUUCUACAUCGUCGGCUUGCCUGUGGCAGUAACGUCCACGUUUGGGUUUAAAGUUGGGUUUUGUGGGCUAUGGUACGGUAUGCUCGCUGCGCAGAUUACAUGUUUGGUUAUGAUGCUUUGUACGUUGGUUCGUACGGACUGGGAACAUCAGGUGAAGCGAGCAGAGGCACUUACCGCCGCUGCAGCUGAUAGAAGUCGUUCGGAAGAACAUACCAUCCAUACCGAAGUCGAAAAUGAUGAUGAUCUAGAGAUUGGUUUGUUACAAAACACAAAUGACUAAUUUAGAAUUGUUUAAAAUUUUCAAUCGGAAAUUUUAACGGAUUGUUAAUUAUAUAUAGGGUUUUUUUCUUUGGGCAAAUUAAAAUACUCUAGAUAGAGUUGCAUCCAAAUUGUUAUAGGCUGAUAAACAAUAUCUUGGUAAAAGUGUCAUAAGUACGAUCAAAUUGGUUGAGCUAAGUUUUGUUAACAUGUAAGCAACCAUUUUUUUUUCAUAUAAAGUCAACUAUGUAGUGAAGAAAUAGUUGUGACGAAAUUUAAUGAUUUAUGACUCCUCUAAAAUGCCUCUGAAUUUUUGUGAACAACAAACAAUAAGGCCGACUCUCCCAGCUCACCCAGCCCAAUCAUAUAUGAUCUAUGUUACACGGUACAUCAGGCUAUUUCUUGCCGUAGCUAGGAUUGUUGGUUAGGAACGUAAAAUAAAUAAUUUGAGGAUUCAUAUCCAUAACCCGCUCCAUGUUGGGACGAUUUGUAUUUAGCAAGUUCUCGGUUUGGAUUGACACAUCUGUGUAUAUGACCUCUGAGUUUCUCAUUCUAAUUUUUAAAUAAAUUUUCCAAAACCUGCUAUUUUUGGAAAGUUGUCAUUUCGUUGUAAAAAUAUUGUAGAUUUGAGAUUGUGAUUUAUAAAUUAGGAUAAAAGAGUUUUUGUUGAUAGAUAUGUAUGCUUUAAAAAAUUUUGAUCAAUAAGUUAUAAUGUUUAAAUAAAUUUUCCAAAACCUACUAUUUUGGGAAAGUUAUUAUUUUUCUAUAGAAAUAUUGCAGAUUUUGGAUUGUUAUUUAGAAAUUAGGAUAACAAGAUUUUUUGUUGACAGAUGGGUAUGCUUUUGUAAUUUUUGAUAAAUAUGUUAUAUUUUAAAAAUAAAAUUUAUAAGAACUGCUAUAUUUUGGAAAGUUAUCAUUUUUGUAGAGAAAUAAUGUAGAUUUGGGAUUGUGAUUUAGAAAUUAAGAUAACAAAAGUUUUUUUGUUAGAGAUGGGUAUGGUUUUAGAAUUUUUGAUCAAUAGGUUAUAAUUUUUAAAUAAAUUUUCUAAAACCUGCUAUUUUUGGAAAAUUAUCAUUUUGUUGAUAAAUAUUGUAGAUUUGGAAUUAUGAUUUAGAAAUAAGGAUAACAAGAGUUUUUAUUGAUAUAUGGGUAUGCUUUUAGAAUUUUUGAUCAAUAUGUAUCUUUUAGAUAAAUUUUCUAAAACUUGCUAUUUUAAAAACAAAUUAUCAUUUUUUGUAGAGAAAUAUUGUAGAUAUAUGAUUGUGAUUUAGAAAUUAGGAUAACAAGAGUUUUUGUUAAUAGUUGGUACGCACUUUUAGAACUUUUGAUCAAUAAGUUAUAAUGUUUAAAUAUAUUUUCCAAAACCUACUAUUUUGGGAAAUUUGUCAUUUUUCUAGAGAAAUAUUGUGGAUUUUGGAUUGUUAUUUAGAAAUUAGGAUAACAAGAGUUUUUGUUGAUAGAUGAGUAUGUUUUUAUAAUUUUUUUACCAAUAGGUUAUCACUUUAAAUUAAAUUUUCCAAAAUCUGCUACGUUGGGAAAAUUAUCAUUUUUGUACAGAAAUAUUAUAAAUUUGGGAUUGUGAUUUAGAAAUUAAGAUAACAAGAUUUUUGUUGAUAUAUGGGUAUGCUUUUGUAAAUUUUAAUCAAUAGGUUAUAUUUUAUAAAUAAGAUUUAUAAGAACUGCUAUUUUUAGAAAGUUAUCAUUUUCGUAGAGAAAUAUUGUAUAUUUGGAAUUGUGAUUUAGAAAGUAGGAUAACAAGAGUUUUUGGUUAUAGAUGGGUAUGGUUUAAGAAAUUUUCAUCAAUAGGAUAUAAUAUUUAAAUAUAAUUUCCAAAACCUGAUAUUUUUGGAAAGUUGUCAUUUUGUUGAUAAAUAUUGUAGAUUUGAGAUUGUGAUUUAGAAAUUAGGAUAAAAAUAGUUUUUGUUGAUAGAUAGGUAUGCUUUUAGAAUUUUUUUAUCAAUAAGUUAUAAUGUUUAAAUAAAUUUUUCCAAAACCUACUAUUUUGGGAAAGUUAUCAUUUUUCUAUAGAAAUAUUGUAGAUUUUGGAUUGUGAUUUAGAACUUAGGAUAACAAGAGUUUUUUUUGAUAGAUGGGUAAUAUUUUAUAAAUUUUUUCAAUAAAAUGUAAUGUUUAAAUAAUUUUUCCAAAACCUACUAUUUUGGGAAAGUUAUCAUUUUUCUAGAGAAAAACUGUAGAUUUUGGAUUGUGAUUUAGGAUUGUAUUUAGAAAUUAGGAUAACAAGAUUUUUUAUUGAUAGAUGGGUAUGAUUUUGUAAUUUUUGAACAAUAGGUUAUAUUUUAUAAAUAAAAUUUCUAAGAACUUCUAUUUUUUGGAAAGUUAUCAUUUCUGUAGAGAAAUAUUAUAUAUUUGAGAUUGUGAUUUAGAAAUUUGGAUAUCAAGAGCUUUUGGUUAUAAAUGGGUAUGGUUUGUAGUUUGCUCAAAAAUGGGUAUGGUUUAAGAAAUUUUGAUCAAUAUAUUAUAAUUUUUAAAUAAAUUUUCAAAAACUUACUUUUUUUUGGAAAGUUGUCAUUUUAUUUAUAAAUAUUUUAGAUUUAGGAUUGUGAUUUAGAAAUUAGGAUAACAAGAGUUUUUGUUGACAUAUAGGUAUACUUUUAGAAUUUUUGAUCAAUAAGUUAUAAUGCUUAAAUAAAUUUUUCAAAAUCUACUAUUUUGAGAAAGUUAUCAUUUUUCUAUAGAGAUAUUGUAGAAUUGGGAUUGUGAUUUAAAAAUUAGGAUAACAAGAGUUUUUGUUGAUAGAUAGGUAUGCUUUUAGAAUUUUUGAUCAAUAAGUUAUAAUGUUCAAAUAAAUGAUCCAAAAGCUACUAUUUUGGGGAAAUUAUCAUUUUUUCUAUAAAAAUAUUGUAUAUUCGGGAUUGUAAUUUAGAAAUUAGGAUAUCAAGAGUUUUUGGAUAUAGAUGGGUAUGGUUUAAGAAUUUUUGAUCAAUAGGUUCUAAUUUUUAAGUAAAUUUUUCAAAACUUACUAUUUUUGGAAAGUUAUCAUUUUUCUAUAGAAAUAUUGUAGAUUUGAGAUUGUGAUUUUGAAACUAGGAUAACAAGAGCUUUUGUUGUUAGAUAGGUAUGCUUUUAUAAUUUUUUAUCAAUAGGUUAUAUUUUUUAAAUAAAUUUUCUAAAACCUACUAUUUUGGAAAAAUUAUCAUUUUUGCAGAGAAAUAUUAUAGAUUUGUGAUUGUUAUUUUGAAAUUAGGAUAACAAGAUUUUUUAUUGAUAGAUGGGUAUGCUUUUGUAAUUUUGUAUCAUUAGGUUAUAAUUUUAAAAUAAAAUUUCUAAGAAUUGUUAUUUUUAGAAAAUUAUCAUUUUCAUAGAGAAAUAUUGUAUAUUUGGGAUUGUGACUUAGAAAUUAAGAAAUCAAGAGCUUUUGGUUAUAGAUGGGUGUGGUUUAAGAAUUUUUGAUCAAUAGUUUAUAAUUUUUAAAUAAAUUGUCCAAAACUUAUUAUUUUUGGAAAGUUAUCAUUUGUUGAUAAAAAUUGUAGAUUUGGGAUUGUGACUUAGAAAUUAGGAUAACAAGAGUUUGAGUUGAUAGAUAGGUAUGCUUUUAGAAAUUUUGAUCAAUAAGUUAUAAUGUUUAUAUAAAUUUUCCAAAACCUACUAUUUUGGAAAAUUUAUAAUUUUGUAUAGAAAUUUUGUAGAUUUUGGACUGUGAUUUAGAAAUUAGGAUAACAAGAAUUAUCAUUUUAUUGUAGAAAUAUUGUAGAUUUUGGAUUGUGAUUUAGAAAUUAGGAUAACAAGAGUUUUUUUUUGAUAGAUGGGUAUGGUUUUAUAAUUUUUUAUCAAUAGGUUACAUUUUUUAAAUAAAUUUUCCAAAACCUACUAUUUUGGGAAAAUUAUCAUUUUUGCAGAGAAAUAUUAUAGAUUUUUGAUUGUGAUUUUGAAAUUAGGAUAAUAAUAUUUUUUAUUGAUAGAUGGGUAUGCUUUUGUAAUUUUUGAUCAUUAGGUUAUAUUUUUAAAAUAAUAUUUCUAAGAAAUUGUAUUUUUUGAAAAUUAUCAUUUUCGUAGAGAAAUAUUGUAUAUUUGGGAUUGUGAUUUAGAAAUUAAGAUAUCAAGAGCUUUUGGUUAUAGAUGGGUAUGGUUUAAGAAUUUUUGAUCAAUAGUUUAUAAUUUUUAAAUAAAUUGUCCAAAACUUACUAUUUUUGGAAAGUUGUAAUUUGUUGAUAAAAAUUGUAGAUUUGAGAUGUGAUUUAAAAAUUAUGAUAACAACAGUUUUUGUUAAUGUAUAGGUAUGUUUUUAGAUAUUUUGAUCAAUAAGUUAUAAUGUUGAAAUAAAUUUUCCAAAACCUACUAUUUUGGGAAAGUUAUCAUUUUUCUAUAGAAAUAUUGUUGAUUUUGGAUUGUGAUUUAUAAAUUAGGAUAACAAGAGUUUUUGUUGAUAGAUGGGUAUGGCUUUAGAAUUUUUGAUCAAUAAGUUGUAAUGUUUAAAUAAAUUUUCCAAAACCUACUAUUUUGGGAAAGUUAUCAUUUUUCUAUAGAAAUAUUGUAGAUUUUGGAUUGUGGUUUAGAAAUUAGGAUGAUAAAAAUUUUUUUUGAAAGAUAGGUAUGCUUUUAGAAUUUUAAAUUUUUGAUCAAAAAGGUAUAAUGUCAAAAUAAAUUUUCCAAAACCUACUAUUUUGGGAAAGUUAUCAUUUUUUCUAAAGAAAUAUUGUACAUUUUGUAUUGUGAUUUAGAAAUUAGGAUAACUAGAGUUUUUGUUGAUAGAUGGGUAUGGUUUUAUAAAUUUUUUUCAAUAGGUUAUAUUUUUAAAAUAUAUUGUCCAAAACCUACGAUUUUGGGGAAGUUAUCAUUUUUCUAGAGAAAAAAUGUAGAUUUUGGAUUGUGAUCUAGAAAUUAGGAUAACAAGAGUUUUUUUUGAUAGAUGGGUAUAGUUUUAUAAUUUUUUUCAAUAAGAAGUAAUGUUAAAAUAAAUUUUCCAGAACCUACUAUUUUGGGAAAAUUAUCAUUUUUCUAGAGAAAAAUUGUAGAUUUUGGAUUGUGAUUUAGAAAUUAGGAUAACAAGAGUUUUUGUUGAUAGAUUGGUCUGGUUUUCAAUAAGUUAUAUUUUUUAAAUAAAUUUUUUAAAACCUACUAUUUUGAGAUAGUUAUCAUUUUUCUAUAGAAAUAUUGUAGAUUUUGGAUUGUGAUUUAGAAAUUAGGAUAACAAGAGUUUUUGUUGAUAGAUGAGUAUGGUUUUAUAAUUUUUUAUAAAUAGGUUAUAUUUUUAAAUAUAUUUUCUAAAACAUACUAUUUUGGGAAAGUUAUCAUUUUUUUAGAGAACAAUUGUAGAUUUUGGAUUGUAAUUUAGAAAUUAGAAUAACAAGAUUUUUUGUUGAUAUGUGGAUAUGGUUUUAUAAUUUUUUUUCAGUAAGAGUAAUGUUUAAAUAAAUUUUCUAAAAUCUACUAUUUUGGGAAAAUUAUCAUUUUUCUAAAGAAAAAUUGUAGAUUUUGGAUUGUAAUUUAGAAAUUAGGAUAACAAGAGUUUUUGUUGAUAGAUUAGUCUGGUUUUUUAUUUAACAACAAAAACUCUUGUUAUCAUAAUAAGUAGGUUAUAGAAAAAUGAUACCUUUCCUAAAAUAGUAGGUUUUAGAAAAUUUAUUUAAAAAAUAUAACCUAUUGAAAACCAUACCCAUCUAUCAACAAAAACUCUUGUUAUCAUAAUUUCUAAAUCACAAUCUAAAAUCUACAAUAUUUCUCUAGAAAAAUGAUAAUUUUUCCAAAAUAGUAGGUUUUGAAAAAUUUAUUUAAACAUUAUAACUUAUUGAUCAAAAGUUCUAAAAGUGUGUAUCUACUAUCAAAAAUUUUUUUGUUAUCCUAAUUUCUAAAUCACGAACUCAUAUCUACGAUAUUUUUCUAAGAAAAUGAUAUUUUUUUUAAAAAAAAAGGACAGGUUUUAAAAAAAUUAUCUAAAAGAUAUAUAUUGAUAAAAAAUUUCUAAAAGCAUUCAUAUAUCAACGAAAAGUCUCGUUAUGCUAAUUUCUUGCAUCUCCUUCCAAUAGUUUCUUUCAACCUAAAAUACAAAACCUUUCUCUCAUACCACCAUCAUGUCCUCUUCCAAGUCCAACGACACGUUCCCUGUCGCUACUAUAGUGUCACUCACCAUUGAGGUUGUUAUAAUCAAUACCAACGCACAUAACGCGUUUUUCGAUGUUGAAUGACCAGUGUUGCUAAACUUUGCCACAAAAUUACUCGGAUGCAAUGCCAUUUCUUUCGAUUUUUCUUUUUGAACACCUUCAUUUCUUUCGAUUUAAAAUUUUAAACCUAAACUCGCAGGUGUUUGAUGUAAUUUAUGUUCAACAUAAAUUCAUAAACAUAAAUUUAUAAACUGUUGGUUUUAUAAAAUAUAUAUAUAUAUAUAUAUAUAUUUCUAUGUUUUUUUUAAUUUACACAUAGAACAUAAUAUAUUGUUGUAUAAUAUAGAUGUUUGAUAAUAAUUUUUUUGUAUAUAAUAUUAUAUUAAAUUUUAUAAUUUGAUGUAAUUGUAUUAUUCAUAUAAUAACCUGUUGUUUUUGGUUAAUUUACUUUAAAAUAAAACAACAUAAACAUACUGAAAAAUUAAUUUUUUUACAUUAGUUUUCUAUGAAUUAUUAUUAAUUUUAUGAUAUUUUUUCUUAAUAAUUGAAUUCUCGAAAUCUUUAUAUUUGAUUAAACUAAAUAAGAUAAUACUAUAUUUAAAAAUUAAUUUUAAAUAUAGUGGCGAAAUCUGUAAAUAAAAGAAAAUACAAAAAAUAUUUAAUUUAUUAUAAAUACAGUGGUUAAAUAUGUAAAUAAAAUGAAAUACUUAAUAUGUUAUCAAUAUUUUCAAAUAAUCCUCGUUUAUGAUGUUAUCCAUGUUUCCAAACAGUACCAAAAAAAUACUUCAAUUCUAAUAAUAUAGAUUAUUUUGUGUGCGCUAUACAACGUGUAAAUCUCAAAAGACUCGAAAUUAGAAAACCAUAUCCCUAAACACAUCUAACUCGGAUAUAGAUCCUACAAUAGUAAUCGUGAUCACAAAUCGAAAGUGAUAAAUCCAUGUGACAUCAAAAUACUAGCAAAUUUAAACCAACAAAAAGAAAUUGCAUAAAUGAAAUAAAAUGUAACUAACGAUGUUUGUUUCAUAGUUUUAUAAUCCAAAGUCGAGUAGCAAUGAAUAAAUUAAUACAUAUAUUAUUUAAUUUAAAUUUCUAGCAUAUUUUUCGAUCUAAAUGAUGCUAUUUCAAUUCUCCUUAACUUGAAUCUCAGUAUAUAUGGAUCAUUUUGCUCGAAUCGGAUUCUGGUAUGAUGUUGAAUUUAUAAACUUUCAACUUAAACAUUAACCAGUAUAGAUAAAUUGGUCAGUAUUGAUAAAGAUGUCUCAUGAAAUUUAUUUGAAACUUCUAACGCGCUACACGUAUGGAAUAUGAGCAUGCGUAGUAACUAUUUGGGCCAUAUAUAUUUACAGCAAUAUACUUUAAACUUGCACGUGUUGUGCUCACGUACAAUACGUUGCAUGCAGCAUUUCGGUGCCCAAUUCUCAAGUUUCACCGAAAACAAAAAGGCAUAAAUCAUGUAGCCCCUUAGGCACCGACGUUUUUGACUUAGUACGAUUAUUCUUCUUCCUCUUAAACAGUAAAUAAGAUUGCACAUGAAUGAAAACCAGUGUCGUGCGAAGAGUUGUAGGGGCCUAAGGCAAGUUUUAAAAAUAAAUUUAUUUACAACCGUAAUGAAAACAAUUUUCUAAUAUGAUAUAUUAUUUUCACCAAAUACACAAGUCUAAUACUGUAAAAAAAUAAGUUUAUAACGUAAAUAUGUUAUAUUAUGUCAUAUUGAAAAAAAUACAUGAAUUCAAAAAGUGAGUUAAUUAAUUUUUGCAGAAAUGUUUUUUUUUUAAAUAAGUCUACACCACUAUAGUAGAAAUUAUUUUAAAUUUUGGGGCCCUAAAAACAGUCAUAUUAAUCGGGGGCCUGAGACGAAUACCUUUUUCAAUACACUGUAGGCACGCCUCUGAUGAAAACUACAGAAAACUUUUCAUUUUGCCGUGUUCCUAUCGGCUUACAUAUAGAGAACAAUUAACACAUCACCUGACCGAAAGAAACACUAGUUAAGAAAAUAUAGUACUAAAGAUAAAAUUACUGAUAUUAGCAAUUUAGCAUAGCUAAAUGAAGAAUAAUUCUUACAGAAAGAAUUGUAAACCUUAAUUUUCUCAAAAAAAAAAAGAACUAGGAUAAUAAAUUAUGGUUUAGUAUAGCUUAUAAGGUUUUAAAUAUAAUGUGUAUAUCAUAUAAUUCUUUCAGAGAAAAAUCAUUUUUUCUACGGUAGGAAUGUAGAUAAGAAAAAUUAAACGACUCCGUUAGUGGUGUCUAUUGAAUGAGACUCGAUAUGUCCAUAAUAUAUGUAUGUAAAUUAGAAAAUGUAUCACAUUUUUUUUAGAUCCAAUUUAUCUAGCACCAAUAUAUGUAUUUUAAAAGGUUACAUUCUCAUGUUUUAUAUUUUAUAAAGCCAACAAAACAACAAAUUUAUCAUCCUAAAAUAAUGUUUUGCUAUUUUCGCCAGUAAAACUAAAGCAGUUUACUAUCCUCAGUUAAAAUGUAAUGAAUAAGUUUUUCUUCUUCUUCUUUUGGCAAAUAUGGUAACUUUUUAAUCUUUUGACACGCUAUGUAGUUUCUUAUUAUCAAAAGCACAUACUACAUUUAAAAAUAUUCAAUUUCUAUAAAACAUUAUAGAUAAAAUUAUACCUCAUAAAAGUCUAGUGAGUUGUACAAGUAAAAGCACCUAGUUUUACCAAAAUAAGACUAGAAAUAGUAUUAUGGGGGAGGGGAAGAUCAAAGUGGUGGCCUUGAAAAGCAAAGCAACCGACACGGAGUCACAGACCCCAUCCUACCCAUGUGUUGAACUGCAUUCAAUUUUGUUAUGUAUCAGUCAGAUUUUUCACAUAGUGACGAACCGUAUACAUACAUUCUACUAGGUGUGGGAUGCAAGGACAAACCGACAUCUUCUCGGGUAUAUAUAUAUAUCCAUACGGAGAAAUUAUAUGAAAAAGAAACAAAAUAUUUUGGGAAAACGUUUUAAAAUAUUUUGAUCUGGAGAUAUCUUAAAAGCAAAAUUAUAUAUCUCAAAAAUAAGCUCCAGAUGCGUGUUUAAUUAAUUUAAAAAUCGCUCCAGAUGUGUGUUUAAUUAAUUUAAAAAUCAUGUUGUUUUUAUGCUGAUUUUUAAGAUUUAGAACAUCGGAUAUAUUUGGAUGUUCGCUUGCCAAAAUUUAGUGGAUAUAUUUUGUCCGUCCAUUUUCUGGAUUACGGGUGGAUACUUUACCGCAUAUCCGAAGCCGCAUCCGAAUCUGAUCCGAAAAAUCCAAACCGAAAUAACAAAAUAUCCGAAUGGGUAUUGAAUUAGGAAAAAUUAAAUAUCCAUUCGGAAACGGAUAAUAUCCGAACCUGAAUGGAUAUCCGAAGAUAACCGAACAUAUGUAUUUAAUCUUAUAUUUCUAGUUUACAUCUCUUAUUUUAUAUAAAAUAUUUAUAUUGAUACUACACAUACUUUAAGUUCAUAUGAUAUACAUAUAAUUAUGGAAAAAAUGAUUUGUUACUCAGUUAAAAUGUAUAUCAAACUUUUUAUUUCAAAAACUAACAAAAUGUUCCAUCCAAAAUUUUAAAACAAUAACCAAAUUAAUAUCUUUUUAGUUUCAAAAUGUUAUGUCCAAAUCUAUUAACCAUUCAAUCUAUUAAAAAUAAAAAAAAAUAGUUAAAUGAAAAUUAUAUUUUUAAAUACAAAAAAUUUGAGAAAUGAAAUAUUUAAUAAAUACAUCGCCUUUUUUGAUCAAACUAGUAAUAUUACUCAAACAUAUGUUAUGUUAUGGACAUAACAUUCACUACUCACUUAAAAAAAUAUAUAUCAAACUAGAUAUAUUGAAUGGUUAAUAAAUUUGGACAUAACAUUUGUUAAUUAUAUAUCUCCUUUUUUAAUCAAACUAGUAAUAUUACUAAUAUAUCUCUAAUCACAUUUGCUGGGUCUAAAUAAAAUCAAUGUACGUCAUGAUUAUAAAUAUACUAAAGAUAUUGUAGAGUUGUUUUCUAAAAUAAAAUAGAUUAUGAUAUAGUUGUAAUGUCAAAUAACUAUUUGCAUAUCCACAUCUACAUUUCUUUUUUGGUCGAAGCGUAUCCACAUCUACAUUUCCUCUCUCUCUCUUUUUCUUAGCACAUCUAUAAAAGUACGUCUUAUUAAGAAUAUAUAAUGAAAAUGUAGAAGGAAGAGACGUUUCAGAAAAAGAUAAAAACGAAAUUUGAUUAAAAUGUCAAACGAGAGUUCCUACAUAACUAGGGACCUCAACAUUAAAUGAAAUCAACAACCAACAAACUACUCCCAUUCCUCUAAACCGCAUUCACAUUCAUAACAUAAAUUUUCCUUGUCUAUAUAAACACUCACUCCCCCAACUCUCUCUAUCAUUCAUCACUACACACUUCUCAUUUUGCAAACAAUCAAAAUCCCCUAAAACUAAGAAAAAUGGCUGGUCUAAUGAAAUUGGCAUGCUUGGUCUUGGCCUGCAUGAUUGUGGCCGGUCCAAUCACAACGAACGCGGCUCUAAGCUGUGGAACCGUUAGCGGUAACUUGGCAGCAUGCAUUGGCUACUUAACCCAAAAUGGGCCCCUUCCCAGAGGGUGCUGCACCGGCGUUACUAAUCUAAACAACAUGGCCCGUACAACCCCGGACCGUCAGCAAGCUUGCCGUUGUCUUGUAGGAGCCGCUAACUCCUUCCCUACUCUCAACGCUGCCCGAGCUGCUGGACUUCCUAAGGCAUGUGGAGUCAAUAUUCCUUACAAAAUCAGCAAAAGCACCAACUGCAACAGGUAUGUCGUAAUCUCUCUCUGAUAUAUAUGAAAAUUAAAGGUUAUUUUAGAACAAGAAGUAUAUAACAAACAUUAUUAUGAUGAUUUACAUUUUAAGAUUAUUUUAUUGUUAAAUAAAAAGUAUAAGUUUUUUAAUAACUGUUUACUUCCCGGUUUAACCAUGUUCUAAUGGAAGUUUUGAGUUUUAUACCGAUGAAUAUAAAUUAAAAGUUUCUUUUGUUUGAAUGCAUAUUAUAGUACAAUAUAACAAUGUAAUGUUUAUUUGUAUGUGGUUGCAGCGUUAGAUGAGCGGCGGUCGGAUGAAGAAACUCAAGCGGACGUACGAAUCUAAUAUAAUGUAUGAGAGAGUACUAAAUAAGAUGUUGUUUUUCUAGUGUUUUAAAAUUUCAUGUUUCUCUUCUGUUGUGUCGUUCCUUUACUUUGGUUGUAUGUACUAUGUUCGUAAUCAACGUCCGCUAUAUGAAGUUCAUAUCCAAGGUUUACGUUAUUCUAUAUUCUUAAUUACUAAAACAAAGUUUAGUUAGUUUCACUGAUAUGAAAAAUUAAUAAUUAAACAUUAAAGAAAUAAAAUAAUCACUAAUAUGCAAUGCAGUUGAGAAGGAACGGAACAUUUUAAUUUAAAGAAAAUGAAGUAACGGGACAUUCUUAAAGUAUCCUGUUUAUACUUGAGAAUUAAUAUAGUUGAGAGAGAAUGAUGGACUGCUUUAAGGAACCAUGGCAUCCCCUGAAUUUAGGGCCCUACUUUUUUUUGUCGUCAAGUAGGGUUGUAUUAAAUAUGUGGUGUCUUUUUAAAAAAAAGAAUUGAGCUAGAUUUUAGACUCAUGACAUAAGAUGGCGAUUUGGAUUUUGGACAACCAAAUAGAAUGCACACUUAGAAUAAGAUUUCUAUUGAAUUUUUUUGUCAUCUUUUCAUCCUUGAUCGCUAAUUUUUUUUCAAAUAUACCGUCUUUUGAAAUGUUUCUAGAGAAAGAGAAAAUGUCAAAAUUCUACCAAAAGUCUAGACACGCAUCUGAUUGCCUUCUUAGUGUUAACGGCUAAUUACAGUUUUUUUUUUCUGGUAAUGGUACUUAAAUAAGGAUAAAGGGAAUUUCAAUAUUUCAAGGACUCUCAAUUUUACAACAGAAAAUAGCAAACUUUGACAAAAACGAGAUAGAUUAGCAAAAUACUAUGUGUUUAGCAUAUUUUGCAAAAUAUUUCUUUGAUCCACCACAAAAAGGUCUUACAAGGUUAAUUAACAUCUACAGUUUGCAAAGAAGGUUAGACCUAUUUUUCGACAAUGAAUAGAGGUUGAAACUCUUAUGUGUGUUUUCUUGUUAUAUUAAGAGUACAUAAGUUUUUUUUUUGUUGGUCAAAAUGUUAAAAGAGUACAUCUGUGUUCUCAAGUGCAAUUCUAUAGUCUUAUAGGAGUGAAACAAAAACGAGAUAGAUAAGCAAAAUAUGUGUUUCGCAUAGUUUGCAAAAUAUGUGUUUCGCAUAGUUUGCAAAAUAUUUCUUUGAUCCACCACGAAAAGGAGGCGAAAAUAAGUGUAUUCGUAGAGGGUUAAUUUACCCUACAGAGUUAUAUAAAUUAGUUUAAUUUUUAUUAAAUACUUAAACUUGACUCCAUCAAAACAUAAAUAUGACCUCUAUCAAAUUUAAGUUCAAACGAAGUCCGACAAUAUCGUGAAAGUUCUUCAAUUUUCAACCAAUUUAUCAUGAUCCCAGCAUGUAAUUUGUAUGGCUCCGCAGAAAAUACAAUUGUUGGAAUUGGAACUGAGAGUUUACUAUACUUUUUUAUAUUAUUUUGUUUUCGUGUUGGGCCGAUCAUCUCAUUAACAAGCUUUCACGUGAGUAUUUUGCUGAAUCCGCCAAUCAUUAUAUUUUAAAUCUGCUCAAUCUUAUUAGCGGAUGAUUAGUUUGGCACGAGCUAUCGAUCUCAUAUGAUUCUUGAACACAUAAUGCUACAAUAUAUAAAAUAUAUACUAUUUAAUUAUUUUAUACAAAUAACUAUUUUUAUCCGAUAUAGUUUAAAAAGUCACAGAAAAGGAGUACAUGUACGUUGAUAAAAGGGAAAAAAUGUAUUUUUGGUUUCACUUUUCAGAAAAUAAAAUUAAAUAAAAUGUCAAUCAAAGCAGAUGAGAGGUAAAUAGGUGCUCUACAUUAAAUGUAACCAACGGCCAACUAACUAAUCCUUUCUUCUAAUCGCAUUCACAUUCUCAAAACAUAAACUUUCAUUCUCUAUAUAAACACUGACUCCCUCAACUCUCUUCACCACCCAAAUAUCUUACUUGUUUACAUCUUCUUUUGCAAACCAACAGAAACACUAAUAGAAAAAUGGCCGGUGUAAUGAAGUUGGUAUGCUUGGUCUUGGCCUGCAUGAUUGUGGCAGGUCCGAUCACAGCGAACGCAGCUCUGACCUGUGGCACCGUUAACAGCAACGUGGCACCGUGCAUUGGCUACAUAACCCAAGGUGGACCCCUUCCCGGAGCGUGCUGCACCGGUGUUAGUAAACUUAACAGCAUGGCCCGUACAACCCCGGACCGUCAGCAAGCUUGUCGUUGCCUUAAAACUGCUGCUAGCGCCUUAGGCCCUAGUCUCAACGCUGGCCGUGCAGCUGGAAUUCCCAAGGCAUGUGGAGUCAGUGUUCCUUUCCCAAUCAGCACCAACACCAACUGCAACAGGUACGUAUAUUAAUUUGAUGAACCUCUCACACUCGCUCUUGAACUCUUAUAUUAACGGUUUUAUGUUUUAAUAAUUUUUUAAUGUUAAGAAAAUAUUCCCGGUCUAACAAUGUUAUAAAGGAAAUUUUGAGUUCUUAAAUGAUUCAACAAGUGUACGUAAAAAGGUUUUUUUAGUAGAAAUUUGAGGUUCUCUUAUACUAUAUUAACGAUGUUAUGUUUGAUUGGGCGUGGUUGCAGCGUGAAAUGAGCGACAGUGUGAUGAAGCUUCAGGGGACGUUUCGAAUAUUAUAAUAUGGAUCAGAAUAUUAAAUAAGAUAUGUUCGAAUGCAUGUUUUAAAAAUGUUUUAUAAUUUCCUUCUUUUUUAUUUUAAUAUGGUGAUCCUAUAUUCCUAUGAACUGGUCGUUUGUACUAUGUUAUCGAACAACGUUAUAUGAAAUUCAGAUUUGAAGUUUAUAUUCUUCCGUGUUGUACCGCCUCUUCACGAAGCCUUAAUAUAUAAACAAAGAAAAAGUAAUGGGAUAUUCUCAAAUGUUAACUGUAAACUACAGUUUUAUUAUCAAUCAUUUGAAAAAAAACAAGAAGAUAAAACUAAGCUAUGGACGUAUACAUGUCAAAAAAUUCGUAUUUGAAGUGUUUUUGUAUUUGGAGACUUUUAUGUGGAGAUCCAUGGCAUGUUGAGGAAAGCAAAGAAGUAUCGUUCUGGUGUUUUAUCGGCCGAUCAAGUCCGCAGCAGGACAACGUACGUCGACAAAAUGUUCAUCGGUCAGAUAACCUAUGCGUGGAUUAGUAACUUUCUAUUUUCAAAGGCACUUACUACCUUCAAAAUAAGAAUUACCUUGUCUAAAAUCUUGAAAGUUCCCGAUAAGAUGUAGUGAUUUGUACUAGUAAAAGUAAAACAUACAUAUUUAAACAUACAUAAGAGUAGAAAUAUAUGUGGAGUGACGAAGUGACGGCCAUGUAAACCAAAGCUAAUUAAUUGCAUGGUAGGCAAUCGACAGUGAUACAAUUCUACCAAUUUGUCCUGCCAUUUAAUUUAUCAUGCAUCAGUCUUCUCUUUCACAUAAUGACGAACCUUUUACAUACACUCCAUGGUUUGGGAGGACAGACAAACCAACAUCUUCUCGUGUGUAUCCGUCCCGAGAAAAAACAUAAAUAUUUAUUAUUGAGUAUUUAUUAUUAAUUUUUUAAUUUAUUUGUUUUUUUUAAUUUAUUUAGAGAUCACAUAAAAGAUUUACUACAAUACUCAAAAAAAUCUCCAAUAUUUAGGUUGAAUUAACAGAAAAAAUCACGUUUGAUAAAUUUCAAAGUUUUUCAUUUAAAAUAAAACUUCUUUGUAAAAAUUGCCAUGCAACCUAAAUGAAGAGCAUAUUAUUGAAAGCAUGAGAAUGCAACAUAUGAAACCUUAAUGAUAAUUACGUACCCGUGUCAAAGAAAAUUACAGGCAAUGAGGUGUUUGGUGUAUCUGCAUUUCUCAGUCACCAUCACAGAGAAUUUUGUUAAUUACUCCCUCUUCGUAAUUAAUUACUCCCUCUUCGUAAUAAGCUUCACUUUAUGCUUUUGCAAGCUGUAAUUAAUUACUCCCUCUUCGUAAUAAGCUUUAUUUUAACCUUUUUUUUUCUUGUUAUAAAAAAAAUAUCACUUUACAAUUCAAUGCAAAUCAUAUAUACUUUCAGCUGAAAAUUAAUUAAAAAUUGCAUUAAUUUUGUAAAUAAUUUUAUUUAUUUCAAAUACUAUUAGUAAUAGAAAUAUAAUUAAUAACAACUUACAUUUAUGUCACUUUUUAAUUUAUGUGAAAAAUGUACGAUACUUAUUUAUAAACGGAGGGAGUAUUAUGAUUGGUAGAUAGAUGGUAGUCUAAUGAUAUGUUUAAUUUAGUUUUGUAUACUUAUUAAAUAUGUAAAAAUUACCGGAACGAUACCAUGAAUUCGUAAAUAUAGUUAUCAUUUAUCAAAAUAUCUAAAAUUGAUUCUUCUACUUUACCAAAAAGAUACUGACACUCUCACUCUUCUUCUGCCAAAAAGAAACUGAAAUGUUGUCGAGGUUCCAGUUGGUUUAAAUUUUAAAGUGAGAAAGGCUCUACAUUGUUUAGAGAGUCUACUACUUCUGUAAAAGUUGUCCAAGCCCAUCGAUAUACUCAGGUAUUUUCCAAAAACCACGACGUCGUCGUUUAAUUCAUCUUCUUUGCUUCCUAGUUGAACUAUACACAGCUCUCAUUGUUGAGGUGGGGAAAGAGAAGAGUGAUCUAGAUGGUGGUGAUGAUACAUAUCAGGAAGCAUGGAAGCAAUCUCGUAUUUUAAAGAGCAGGUGUCAAAGGUGCAGAGCUUGUCAUCGGAGCAAUACACACACUGUUAACUCCCAAAAAGCAAUGACAAUCUUGAAAGAUACUUCUGAACAACUUAGGAUUCAAAGAAACAAAUCAUAAGUGAGAGCUGAUAUCCCCCAAAUAGUUCCUGCUUCAUUACAACCACAAAUGUUACUUUUUUCUCUAAAGCUAAUCCUACACAAACAAAUGAUGAGUAGAUUCAAUCAGACCAAUUUUGUGCCAAAAAGAACCAGAUUAAUAUUUGAUAGUACAAACUGGAGUGGGCCGAUCAAUAUAAGCACUAUCAAUAUAAUACACUAUAUUGACUGAUCAAUAUAAGCACUAUCUUGACUGGCAAAUGCUUAGCAAAUCAAAUACACAAUGAACAUAUUGGUAACAAAGCAAUAUAUAACUUAAACUGCUAGUAUAUAUACUCCUCUUCCUUUGGAAAGCCGUUGCUUGCUUUAAUUUUUGCUAAGCAUUUGCAACUUGCAAGUCAAGAUAAUGCUUAUAUUGAUCGACCCCGUUGCACCGACCAAAACAGUUCUGCUAACUUCUAUCAGCUCAGCGUUAUGGGCCUUUCGUGAACACAAACUCUAUCAGCAGAAACAUAAAACACACAUAAAUAUAUUUAAGCGUUUUAUACAAAGAAUGUAUCACUCACGUAAAGAAUUUGGAGAUUCUCUUUAUCUUGUUGCUUAACGAAAAGCUUUAUGUUGAAUUUUUUUAUGAAAUCAACUUUCUUGUUUCGGUUAAGCAUGUGAUUGAAGGACGUGGGAACCGUCCCAUCUUUGACUGAUAGAAUUUUCAAGGGAACAUGUCUUGUAGCUCUCGUGAAAACAUUAUCCGAAGGUAUUUAGGGUUUCCAAAGGCCCAUCUCAGCUUUGAUUGGUAAUAAACAAUAGCCUAGUAAUAUAUUAUGGCCUCGAUAUAAAGCUUAAUGAUUAAUGAAUAAAUCCUCCUGUACAUUAAAAGAGAAGUGACUUCAGUGGUUUCUACUGACGUGGUAAUCACAUAGAGCUUCUCAGAAAAAUUCUUAUAAUUCUAUUGGUUGAUUUUUUCGAAUUUUCUUCUUCUUUUUUAUUCAAUCGCGCAUCAGAUAAGUUUGAAACCGAUAAAGACGGUCCGAACAGAUGAGUUUGCUUCUCGACACUCUGAAGACUCAAUCAGAUCAAUGGCAGCAAGGAGCGACGAGUAGAUGAGUUUCCUUCUCUCCACCAUCGAUCAGAUCGAUGAGGUGAAGUUUGUCGAUACUCUGUUAAUAUACAGAGUUUUUGGUUUCUCUGAUUGGGUUCGAUAGCGAUUAUCGCCAGCUGAGAUUGAAUUGAAAUUUACUCUCGAACCGAUUUAAUUUGUAAGAUAGAAACUACGAUCUGCUUAUUAAUAUUUUGAUACUUUGUAUCUAAUUGAGUGAUUAACCUGCAGAGAUCAAAAGGUUGAAGAAGCUACAUACAUAAUCGUUAAACAACUUCGUUAACCAGGUAUUAUUAACUUUUGAAGUAAAAUGAAAUAGCCAAUAUGCAUAAGCCACGUAUGGGGUGUUUACCAAUCCUACAUUCUCUUAUUUAGACAGCGGUUGUGUCAAAUUAUAUCAUUUUUGAUUUAUUUUUUUCCUUUUUCCUCUUUAGAACCUCAACUAAAAUCCACCGUUGGAAGUGGUCUUAGCUCUAAACAAAUAUUAUAAAAUAAUCAAGACUAGUUCUACUAAUCACCAACCAAGUAAAGGAGGAGUCAACGAGGGAUCAUUUGAUUAUACAAUAUUAUAUGCCUAAGCUAGGUUCAUGUGGUUAGCUCUAAGCUAUUAUAAAAUAACACAAUCCAAAUCAACAACGUGAUCAUGGCUAAAUCUAAUCAUUAAAAGUGACUUAUAUCAAUGUCAAUAGUAACAUCAACAGAGAGAUUAGCUGCCAUCAAGGCUCUGGAAGCAAUGAAAUCAGAGACAAACCUCUCCAUGAACCUGAAGAUAGAAGAGAACGAUUGAAUCAAAUAAGAUGAGACUGAGAUUGGAUCAAAUAAGAUGAGACUGAAACAGAAAACAGAUCAUCAGGAUUCAGAAUCAGAAUAAUCACCCUUGGGGAAGCUCCUCGAGUUAUCGCUCGCAAACUCAACGAUGUCUCCAGCCAUGUAUCUCUUCCACAGAUCGUUGAUCUUAGUAUCAAGAGUCUGUUUGUUCACCAUCGUUUCUUUUCUUCUGGUUCUUAGAGAAAGAGUGAGAGAGCAGGAGAAUAGAACGUUGGAUCAGAUUCCAAUCUGGCUUCUUCAACCAUUAGAAACUUCUCUUUAGUCUUCAGAAGCUCCUCUUCAGACAUAAAGAGCUGUGGGCAACAAGAGUUCAAGUACUGAACGUAGCUGAACUAGUCACAAAUUCAUAAUAACAUACAUAAUAACAUCUAGCGAUCGAUUAGAUAUACCAAAUCGUGUGAAUCAGAGUGACUUACAUUAGCGAUGUCAGCAGCAACAGGGAGGUUAGCAUUCAUCAACGCUCUUAAACCAAGAAAAUCAUCCACGAAGAUUCCGUGAACCUGCAAAAUAAGAGAUAGAGAGAAUCUGUAUCAAAUAAGAUGAAAGACUGAAACAGGAAACAAGAGAAUCAUCAGGACUUAGAAUAAUCACCCUAGACAAAGCAUUGACUGAUAAGUACGAUCUGAAUGUAUCUCACAUGUGCACAAUCUUUGUAAUUUAUUUUCGACAUAAAUGUUGACAUUAGACAAUGGUAAAGUGCAGCUAGAAGGGAACAUAAAAGUUUAUAGCAUAUCCAUUGAUAAUUUGGAAUUGCUUUGUAAAGAGUUGUUUUAUACAUUUGCAGUAUAUAGGUAAAACAUUAAACUUCUUGUUUUUGUUUUGUUUUGUUUUCUUUGUACUCAACAUCAAACUUUCAUAACCGACAAAUAGCAGGCUUAUCACCAGCCUCAACAACGACUCCUUUUGCUGAACCGUCCCACAAAAGUUACAUCAAUAAUUGACUGAACUUAUGUACUAUCAAGGCGAAGAAAAAAAAACUGACAGCAAAACUUGGCUCGUUCUUGUGUAACAUAUAAGAAAAACACAUGCAUAAAUUACACAAUAACAGAAAAGAACUAAUAUUACUUACAAAGCUUAAAAAAAAGAAAAUUCAAUAAGAUCUAAACAUUUGGUCGAGAAUGAUGGUAAAUGCCAUGGCCACAUGAGGCUCCAUCUCCGAUUCAACUAUUAGUUUAAAAACAUCUUUUCCAAAGGCAACUCCUCCGACCAUUGCCUCUUUCCUCUUGAUCUCAGCUGCUUUCUUCUUGUUCCUCCUCUCGUCCAAUAUUUUGCAGCUUCUUUGGCCGAAUGAUCCUUCUAUCUCGUAUAGUAAUGUCUUCUUGGUGCUAACCCACGCCAAGCUCCUCCGGUUUGUCAUUAUACUAACGUUUUUUCUCGCUGUGAAUAUUGGGUCUCUUUGUGUUUCUCCAUCGUAUACCAUCCAGCAAUCUCCCAGGCUCAGUUUCUAAUCAAAUAGGUUAAAAAAAGGAAAAUUCAAGAGUUAGUUCCAUAAUAACAUGGUUAUAUAAAACAAACAUUCAUGUAAAGAUUCAUUAUGUGAAUCUGUCAUGUACUUAUAAUGGUUGACCAUUGUGGAUGUUUUAAAUAACAAGGUUAUUUGGCUCAAUACUUAAUACUUUUUUUAACGCUGAUUUAUUUUGCUAUUGCAAAUUGUGAGAAUUAUUACAUAGACAAGUUUAACAACUGACAAUUAUUUGGUUCAAGACUUUGGUUAUCAAAAAGAAUAUAGAAACAAAGAGAGAACAUGUACCUUGCGCCGGAUAGAGAGUAGGGGUAAGCCAUAAGCGUCCAUAAGGACGAUGUUGUCUUUAGAAGAGUUCAUGUAGUUGUCAACCCUAAAGACAAGAUCUCCAUUAGAGUUGUAAACUGUGAAUCCAUCACAGUUGAAGAGAAGGGACUUCUUCCACACCGUCAAAACUGCGGCUGCUUUACUAUCACACAAGCUCUCCUCGCAAGUGUUUGGGAGCUUUGGGUGAACUUUUGUCAUCUCUUUUCUUUGUUUCUGUCUUGUUUUCGUUUGGUGAGGUUUGAUGAUUGUUGUUGGAGUAGAUGAGCUGAUCUUUGUUUGUUGGACAAAUGAGAAGAGGUCGUUGCGUGUUUAUAAAUACUAUUGUAGAAAGUGAGAAAGAAUGUGAUGCUUAAAUGAAAAGAAUGGUGUCAUCUUCUUGUUGUCCACUAGAGAGAUAUCGUUGUCAGUCUAUUACUAUAAGAUAUCUACUAGUCGCAAAUUUAGGUACUUGUUAAAAAUAUAUAUAUAUAAAUUAAUUGAUUCCUUUCAAUAAACAAAUAUUAUUAAUUGUACCAGCUUUAAUCUCACCUAAACUCCAGCAAAAUAUCAUUUAGCAACCUUGUAUUUUGUCCCUGCAAAAUAACGUAUGGUUUCACACGUAUUAUAUGCUGCUGAUAUUUAAUCUAACGCUCUAGUUAUAUAUAAAAGAAAAUAAUUCAUAAAUAACUCUAGUUUCUAAUUCAUUUGGCCGAUAUUUUAGAGAACUUUACAAAAUGAACCGAUUAAUAAAUAUUGUUGGUAACUGCAUGGCGUUUUUAAGGCAAAUCUAAAAAUACGUUUAAAAUAUGUUCUUAUCAUCAUUUAUUAACGAUUAUUUCAUGCAUCUUAUUUUCUCUUCUAUAUACGUUUUUAUAAUUUAUAGAAAAAUAUAAUUUACACGUCAAACAUUUGUCAAAUCUUUCUCUCUAUAUUUGUGUGUACAUUUUUGUUAUGAUCACUGAUAGAGAAUAUUAUUGUCUCAAAAGAAAGGAAAAGAAUCUAUACCAUGAAAAACCUACGGGCCAUAAUCCAUCGCCAUUUCGAGUGCAUCUUUUUACAAUGAAAAGACGAGUUUCUAUAUGAAAUAUACUUCCAACUUUUUGCAUUAAUAAGUAUUUCUGCUGGAUUAACGCAUUAUUCUCGAAAAAUUGAACCCAUAGGCCAAAGUAAUAUAUGAUAUAUCUUCUCUAUGUGGAUCAACUUGUAGCAUGUUCCAAAUCCCAAACCUGGUUAUUGGCUCGAUAAGACCAAUUAUGUUGCAAAUAUCAGAUAAUAUAUAUUUAUUAACAUCAAGCUUUGAAUAAUUACCAGAGACAUUUUGAGCCAAGUGAAAAACAUAAUCUAGUGGGAGGAUAAGAACGGGUGGAAAGCAAAGUUCAAAUAUAUAUAAAUAAACAAAAGGCAAUUUCAAAGUUUCAAACAAGGACAUGACAUAGAAACGAGUUAAGAAAUUGAGUUUUGAACCAAUCCUUGGUUUUAAUAUGAUGUAUGAUGAAUAAUCAAAGCUUAAGAAUAAAAUUAUGUGGCUGAGAAGCGAUUAGCGGUGGGGAAGAGAGAAGACAAAGCCAUCCCAACAAAAUUCCACCAAUUAUUUUACUUAAAAAGUUUAAUAUAAUAUUUUCCUUGUGAUAUUUUUCCCACGUCCAUUGUUAUAACAAAAUGUCCCACUUACGUUGACAUCUCUCUUACAUUUUUGUAUUCCUUUCGUUAUCUAUCGUUUGUUUAUAAACAAAAAGAUUGCGGUUUAUGCGUCAUAUGCACACAAAAAGUGAUUACGACCUUUGAGAGGUAAGACACGUCCCACUUUUCACCAAGUGAUUGAUAACUACGCUCUGAACUUGGAACAAUAUAUGUUUCUCUUUGCUUUCACACUAUGAAUACAACCUAAGUUGUCUCUCCUACUAUUACCAAAUAUUCUGAUUCCUCACCUUGGUAGCUGUACCUUAUUGUGUGUUUUGUAUUAUAUGAUCAUUUUGCAUCCUACUAUCUAGUAAAACUCAAAUCCAUUAUAGAGUCAAUCUAUUUCAAAAGAAAAUAUAGAAUACUACAUUUGAUAUGCUAUAAGUGAAUGUAGGUGUUUGAGCAAAUCUAUGUAACCUGGUAGUAGAUAUCAUGGGAAAUCGGCUAAUUCCUACAUCAACACAGUCCAGCGGUCCCGAUCAGUACAUAAACACAUAAGCUGUGCAAAUACAUACAUGAACACGUAGUUAAUUCAAAUAUCUUACACGAACUAACAAAAUUCGGUUUUUGCAUACAUUAACCAAUUAUCCGUUAGUCAAACGUAACGGAAUCUGAGCUGUCCGUUAUAUACCAUUACGUGGCUUUUUACGUUUUUAAAUAAUGAAUAAAUUAAUAAAAAUAAAAUAAAAGAUGGUUACAAGGGGGAGUCAAACCCUGGUUUGAGAUAUACCAAUCACAAGAAGAAACCAUUGUGCCAGACCCAACCUAUUGUUUAUAGUCCCAGUUGUUUCGUAUUUAUACAAAUAUUUCAUUCACAUAUUUCUUUUUUUUUCUUUCCAUGUUUGACUUAUCAUCCAAAUUGUUCCAAAACAAAUUCAAAUAUUUUUUUGUUCUCUUUCUCCUUUUCUUGUGGAAAAAAUAAUUUUUGUAUAUUCAAAAAAAUAAAAUAAAAUAAUAUAUAUUAUUAAAAAGGAUUACGUACGUUGGAAUUGUCUUCUACCUUUAUUAUCUCUUUGUGAAUUUCUAUUUUUAAAAGAUAAUAUUUACUUUUAAUAAUCAACCCGAUAAACAAAAUUUCAAAUGUCCAUUACAAGCUUAAAUUGAACAAAACAAAACUAAUUCAAAUAUUGCACGUCUAAUUUCGUUCAACUACCACACCGGCGCGUUCCGCUAAACCGAUCUAUAAUCCUUAGUAAAAUCAAUUCCCUUUUUGAACUAGUUCGUUCUCUUGUUGAAAUCUUUAAUUUGCUUUUGUUUAAAUUUUGAGUAAAUUUUUUUCCAGUUUCCAGUAAUUGUAAGAGAACGUUAGAAACAUAAGGGUUUGCAAAUAAACUCAAAUUCAAACAAGAGGAAAUUAAAAAAUUUCAGCAAGAGAACGAUCUUUCGAUCUCUUUCUCACAAAAAUAUAGUAAAGCUAGAAAUAACUUCAAUGUAUGUGACCCCUUUUUAAUAAUAUAUAUUAUUAUUUUAUUUUUUUGAAUAUAUAAAAAGGUUAUUUCUUCCACAAAAAAAACAAAAAAAUAUUUGAAUAUUUUUUCAUUUUGUUUGGAUGAUAAGUCUAUUUUCUGAACAAUUUGGAUGAUAAGGUCAACCACAAAAAAAAAAAAAAAAAAAAUAUAUAUAUAUAUAUAUAUAUAUAUAUAUAUAUGUGAAUGAAAUAUCCAUUAGGUAUAAAUAGGAAAUCAUUGGGAGUACAAAUAAUAAGUAUGCCUUGGCACAGUGUUUUAGCAUGUGUUGGAUAUUGCUUAGACCCAGGUUCGAUUCCCCCCUCUAACCAUCUUUUAAUUUUUUUAUUAAUUUAUUCAUUAUUUAAAAAUGUAAAAAGCCACGUAAGCAAUAUAUAACGGACAAUUCAGAUUCCGUUACGUUUGACUAACAGAUAAUUGGUCAAUGUAUGCAAAAACCGAAUUUUGUUAGUUCGUGUAUGAGAUUUGAAUUAACUACGUGUUUAUGUAUGUAUUUGCACAGCUUAUGUGUUUAUGUACUGAUCGUGACCGCUGGACUGUGUUGAUGUAUGAAUUAACCGUUUUCCCGUAGAUAUCAUUCUUAUCGUCUUCUACAUUGGUAAUAAUGAAAAAAACUUGCACAAUGACAAAUGGAAAAUAACGUGAGUAAAAGAAUGAUGGGACACCUCUCUUUACCAAAAAUCAUAUACAACAUCCAAGUUUCUUUUCGAAAUCAUAAUAUCAAAGCUGAUUUUGCAAUCAUCUUCAUCACUGUCUCUUAAAAAAUCAAUUUGCUAAUCAUUUUUUAACCCACUUCUGCUAGCUUCUUCCCCUUUCAGCAUUUCUUCUGCAAUGCAUUCGGGUUUAUUUACCCCCACAAAAAAAUGAGAUGCCACUCUAAAUCUUUUUUUCUUUGCGCGUGUGACUUGCUUCUACAGCAUUGUCCCCGUGUAAUUUCUUCUACUUACUCUCUUUCUCAUCAAGGAUUCACGUUACAGUCACUCAAGAAUCCGUCUUCCCUGUUCAGAUGCUUUCUCCAAUAGCUUUUGUACUGUGGGAUUCCCAUCUCUAGCCACGGCUUCAUGUUCCCAUUGUAGUGCAACGUCGCUGCGUUCUUUAUCGUUUGGGGUUUGAUAUAGUAGUCAUAACCAAGCCCUGAUAGAGCCCAUUUGUCUUCAAGAGCAUAUACUUUGUCUUGAAACGUAAGCAAGCUUGCUUUCAAUGCAAUUGCUUCUCUCGGCUCAGCUCCACCACUCAUCUGCCACACACCAAAACAAGAAAUAAGCAUAACGAAACACCCAAUUUCUCUUUCAGGUUUUUUCAGAAAACUGACCUGUUUGUAAAAUUUAUGGUAUGUUUCUGAGACUCCCAGCUCCCUCCAUCUAGCAAGAUCAAUGACAUUCAAUCCAGACAUCCAGAGACAAGCAUUAGCAUCAAAACUUCCUCUCUUGAGACUCUUUAGCUGACCUAAUCUCACAGAGCACGACUUCACUGCGCCGUUCACUUUUCCUUCCAUAUCAAGCUCCCAAAGAGGAGACAAGUCUCGCUGGACCACAACGUCAUGAUCCAGAACCACAACCUUUUCCAACUUAUGAAAUAUUUUCGGAAGAAGAUAGUGAGAUCGAGAGAAAAUUGAUAAGUAGUCUGCUCUAUUGUCACCACUUGGGAAGGAGACACGGAACUCUGUAGGCAAAGACAGCUUCAUAUCAGACUGAUCAAGCUCCAUUUUCUCAAUGUUCAAGACUUGAAUAGCUGCUUGUUUGCAGGGAUUCCUGAUGAACCAUUGUUUCAUCGCAAAGUAGUUCUGCUCGUCGGUCAGUACAUGGAAAACAAAGUUUUUACUUUCCUGAAACAUCAACAAUCAACCAAGAAUCAGACAUAACAUAAGGGUCCUAUGAUUGCAUGAACAAGAACAAAAACUGGAUUUAACACAUACCCUUGCGUGUACAGCCGUUGAGUUGAUCACAACGGAAGAUGCAAGUAUAUUAUCGGAGAUGAUAACAAAGUGAAGCAACGAGGGAUCUGAAAACUUCUCACUAUCCUCAAUAUCAACUGAGCCUGACUUGAAAUGCUCCACAGUUAGCCUCAUUGACAAGCAAUGAAGACUCUUAGGCAUUGUCUGCACCGCAAGCUGGUAGAGGAACACACUCUGUUUCAUGUGGAAACUUGCUUCAUCCUCAGUCAAAUCCAGGAUCUGUCUCAGUUUCUUGUCAACAUUGUUACAGUCAACCGGAAAAGACUUUGCCUUUGAAAUCACACCUUCCAUCUUCUCAAACUUCUUAUCAACCCUUGUAGAAUAGUGGAAAGAUACACACAAUAAGUAAGAUUUAAGGAAAUUAGCAGAGGAUCUACACAUACCCCAAACUGGUAAAGGACUUACUGUGGUGGAAGGUCACCAUCAGCUGAACUUUCACUAAGAAUACGCUCAAACUCUUGGAUGUUCUGUUUCAUAUCCCGAGUCAGCUUGCUUUGAGAAGGCAUUUUAGCAAUACUUGGGUAGUACGCUCUAGCCACAAAUAGCAGGUCCUUCAUAUGCUUCACCUUGGAAUCUUUCAUCGGUUCCUUAUUUUCCUCCCUCCAGAGACAGUAACUCCCGUAUUUCACUUGACAAGUUCUCUGACUUUCAUCAACACUAACUACCGCCCGCUGAACACCUUUGUACGAGACUUCAGUUUUUGUUUUCUGUUCACAGAAUAAAAAACUUAAGACGAAUUGGUGAUAGUAACCAAGAAAAAAGAUGUAUACUAGAGAAACCACUUAAUACAUUUGCAGGGCUUGGGUUGGCAACAACAGCUGGGGACACUGGUACUCCUGCAGAUUAAUUGAGGGAUCAGAAUCAAAAAUAAAACACUUGGGGAGGAAUUUUUAGAAAAAGUGAACCUUUCUUCUUAGAAUCACUGAUGCUUGUCCUAUUCAUAUCUCUGGAACCACCGUUUAUGUCCCUUUUCUAGCGCAUGUGAAACAAGAGGAAAAUAAAAAAAACUUUAAUUAACCAUCUCAUGAAUACAUGAAGCAACCUAAUUCAUGAAUAUGUAUUUCACCUUUCCAGACACAUAACACAGUCAAAUAAAAUAAAAUUAAAUUCACUCAUUCAUCUAAACUAGUCACUUUUCAUUAUUUCUUACUAAUGUUAGCAUUCACAUGCUUUAUAGUAAGAUCAAACUACACAAACCACUAUAAAGAACCAACCUUGGGAAGCACUGGGUUGAGUUUUUGAAGAACCUGAUCAACUCUCUCGGAUACAUCUCUCUGCAAGCAAGCUAAACGACUUUUGAAACCAAUCAAAACGACAGAGAGGGAGAGAGUUAAACAAUUUACCUGUGAAUGUUGAGUAGCAUUGAUUCUGCUAAAGCUCUCAUACUGAUUCCAAAAGAAAGUUAGUUAGAACUUAGAACCAAAAAAAAAUAAAAAAUCAAACAAUUAAGGAAACAAAAUGCUUACAGGAGUAGAUGGUUGGAGAGUGACGACGAGGCCUGAAGAUAAUUAACGUAGAGAUUAUCAGAUGAGAAUAGAUCUGAAACAGAGAUCGAAGAGAGAGAGAGAGUUACCAGGAGAGUGGAAGCUGUUGUGAAGGCCGAGCAAGAAAGCUAGAGGAACCAGCAUUGAUAGGAUCACAAGAACCAUUACUCCUAUCACCAGAACUUUCCACCGCCGUUUUCCUCCGCCGCCUCCUCCUCCUCCGCCUUUCAUUUUUCCGAUUUAGAUUUCAAUCAAUCAAUGCCUUUUUCAAAUUACGAACCGCAUUGGAUCCCUGAAACGACGGCGUUUUCAAGUAAUGCACUUUGCCUGAUCGCAUCGCAUCGUCCCUUUCCCUUGUUUGCUACUUGGAAGAGAGAGAGAGACACACACCCAACCUUUUUUCCUCGCACGUGUGGAACUGUCUCUGCCGUUUGAUUAUCCCAACCCACUUGCGAGAUCUAUCUCCUGAUCACGACACGUGUUAUUUUCACACGUGUGGUGAGUAUUAUUAUUUUUAGUUCGUUUUUAAUAGUCUCGCCGGUAAAUCCUAAAACGCCGAGCAGGCCUAGCGAUAUUCAUCACCACCGUCAACUCCAUUGACAGCUUAUACACUUUGGUAAUCUCUCUUCAGAAUUGAUUGUGAAAGCAUAUGACUUUUUUGGUUUAAUCUACUUUGCAUUAUUUGUUUGUGUGGAUGCAAUGAAGGAGAUGAGUCAUCAAAAGAUUGAGACUUUCCCCCAUAUGCAUUGUUUUAAGCUUUAUCUGUCUAAAAUUCUCUUGUCUUGUAUGGUCUCUUUGUUCCAAUUAGCUUUAUCUCUUCUUUAUGUUACUGUUUGUUCUAAUUAUGAAAGAUUAGGCCUUUAUGUUGUCACUCUCAUUUGCAUUAAUCUUAAGCUAUUCUCUUGUCUUGUCUCUUUGUUCUAAUUGGGUUUCAUUUGAUUCAGUGACUACUGCUACUUUUAGCGUUUCGAGCAUGUUAUUAAUCGCGAGGAAAGCUUUGGCCUUGGCGCAUAACAAGACUAUUCGUUUAACGACGAGGGAAGUGCACUGCUUAAGCUCCAUCUUACUCUCUCCUCCUCUCGUGUCUCUUGACUUGCCUGAAAAUUGGGUUCCUUACUCUCAUCCUCCAUCCCCUGUUGCCUUCGGUAACUCUCUCUCUCCCCCUCCCUCCUCUAGUGUAGUGCAUUGACUUUUGUUCUCUGUUUACUACAGAGUGUGAACAGAAGACUGUGGUGAUUGAUGGCAAAUCUAUCGCAGAAGAGAUCAGAACGAAGAUUGUUAGUGAAGUGUGGAAGAUGAAAAACGAUGUUGGCAAAGUCCCUGGUCUUGCGGUUGUGUUGGUCGGCGAACAAAGAGACUCCCAAACUUAUGUGCGGAACAAGAUCAAAGCUUGUGAAGAAACUGGGAUUAAAUCUGUUUUGGCUGAGUUGCCUGAGGAUUGUACAGAAGGAGAAAUCAUCACUGUAUUAAAAAAAUUCAAUGAAGACACAUCUAUUCACGGAGUUCUCGUGCAGCUUCCUUUGCCCCAGGUGUGUUUCACAUUGCUUUUGUGUGUAAUAUGAGUCAUGACAUUGUGAUGGUGGAUGAUGAUAGUAUAUUGUGUGCAGCAUCUUGAUGAAGCAAAGAUAUUGAAUAUGGUGAGGUUAGAGAAAGAUGUUGAUGGGUUUCAUCCAUUAAACAUGGGGAACCUUGCGAUGAGAGGGAGGGAGCCGCUAUUCGUAUCUUGCACCCCUAAGGGAUGUGUGGAGUUGUUGAUCAGAGCAGGUGUUGAGCUAGCAGGAAAAAACGCUGUGGUGAUUGGAAGAAGCAACAUCGUUGGUCUCCCAAUGUCUUUACUGUUGCAGGUAUUAUUAGUUUUCUCUAAUUACUGUGAUAGGCUUCUUAUGCUUGAGCAUUUAUUUGUCUUUGCUGACAUUAUUGGCUAGAGGUAUGACGCUACAGUAAGCACGGUGCAUGCAUUUUCAAAGGAUCCAGAGCACAUUACAAGGGAAGCUGAUAUUGUGGUUGCAGCCGCGGGUGUGCCUAACCUUGUUCGUGGAAGUUGGCUGAAGCCUGGAGCAGUUGUCAUCGAUGUGGGAACAUGUCCUGUUGAGGUAAAAAGGAAUAAAAACUAAUUCUACUUUAGAAAACUUAGGUUAGAGCCUAAAUAAAGAGACUUAAUGUUUGUUCUUGGGUAUCAUAUUUGGCAGGACAGUAGCUGUGAGCAAGGUUAUCGUCUUGUUGGGGAUGUAUGCUACGAGGAAGCGUUAGGUGUUGCCUCAGCGAUUACUCCUGUACCUGGAGGAGUCGGUCCCAUGACGAUUGCCAUGUUACUAUGCAAUACCUUGGAUGCUGCCAAGCGGACAUCCUUGUGAUAAAUAUGGUUAUCUCUGUGUUAUAACUAAAGAGUCCAUGUUGUUGGGGGGGUUGAUCACAAAUUGACAAUCCCUUUUGAAUUUUGAAUUAUCAUGUUGUUACAGACAAUGGUUGAUGUCUGAUAUAAAGCUCUUUGUCAGAGUAGAGUUUAAUGAUUUUGUUGUAGUAACUGGUUUCUAGAUAACAGUGGAAUGUUUAUGUUUCAUUGGCGUUUACAAGAUGAGGAAGCCAUGGUAGUUAUGCAUGUGGUAGUUGUUGGAUCAUGAGUAGUAGUAGUUUGCAUGUGACGUCAAAGGUUGAAGGAUGAGUGAAGCAAGAUGUGUCACAUGAAGUAUCACGGAACAAAUGCUUGCUUCAAUCUUUACACGUGAUGUUGAAAGGGGAAUAUUCUAAAGACACUCUUUCCCUUUAACCCGGUUUGCAUUUUCGGUUUCAUCAGCUGUGAAUAUGUUUUUAUUUCACUCUUAUAUCUCUCUUUUUCAUCUUCAAGAUAAUUAAAACAAACACAAAGUAACCUAAUCUUGAUUUUCCAUUAAUUUAAACAGUAUAUGUAUUUAGACCACAUUUUCCAUUAUCAUGCCAAAAAAUGUAUUUAGAACACAUUUUGAAAAUCAAUACUCUUGACUUAAAAUCUUUGAGUAAUCCAAUUUUAUUAAAAUAACUUUAUAAUAAAAGAGAACAAUUGUCAAUUAGUGAUGAUUAUCUUGAGUAAAUUCCUAAACACUAAUAUAUUAAUAUUUUAAGAAAUUUUAUUUAUAUGAUUACAAUUUUAGUGUUUUUAAAAAGAAAUAUAAUAAUUACUUAGCUUAAUUAAUAGAGAACAACAAAUGGUAUAUCAAUCAAAUCUUUCAUCAUUUUAAUAGAUUCUUCAUUUUCUUACCUUUCUUUUAUAUUGUUCAUUUUUAAUAGUGUCAAUUAUUGUAAAAAAUCAUUACAGCUUUUACAAUUACCAGAUUUGGUAACUAAAAUAUUAAUUAAUUACUAUCUAAACCUCAGAUUUGAUUUACGAGCCAAAAAUAGUGUUUUGUCAACCAAACCGAAUAACUUACACCCGAACCGGUUAUUUAUAAUCACCCAACCAACCCAAACCAUCAAAUUUCAUUUCGGUUUAGCUAUCAUCAUCCAUCUCCAGAGAAAGAAAAAAAAUUAAAAUGCGAAAAGCAUAAAUAGGAUUCCGAUUCCGAGUCUCAAGUUCCAAAGAGAAGAAACAAACAUCCCUCUCCGAGAGAGAUCUUAGCGAACAACGUGAAGGAAAACAAACAAAAACAACAAACGAUCCGAGAGCGAGAGCGAAAAGCAUUUUCCUCUGAAAACAAAAAAUGGUGUGGGAGAAGGAGAAGAUCGUCGGAAGCUGUAUAAUCGGAGGAGCCACGUUCGCCGUCGGAGCUACGUUCCUCCACCUCUUCCUCAAAGGCGAGCUUCCUCUAGGCAUAGGGCUAGGCGCGCGUUUGGUCUCGUUCAGAAAGCGGAGGCCCGUUCGCGUCUACAUGGACGGUUGCUUCGACAUGAUGCACUACGGCCACUGCAACGCGCUGCGUCAGGCGCGUGCUCUCGGUGACCAAUUGGUCGUUGGUGUUGUUAGCGACGAGGAGAUCAUAGCUAAUAAAGGACCUCCCGUUACUCCUCUUCAUGAAAGGUCUCUCUCUUUCUCGAUCUCAAUUCAUUUGUUAAGGCCGGUCCUGAACAAAUGGUGAAUAACAAUGUUUAACGAACCGUUACGCACUAAUUAGACAUUUUAUAGCGGAUUAUUGAUUAGGCGGGCGCAUAAACAGACUUUUUUUUAUGCCCACACUGAUUUUUAAAGGCCGGUCCUAGAAUUUAAGGGACUUAACAAAUGGUGUGAAUAACAAUGUUCAACGAACGGUAUGCAGUAAUUAGACGUUUUAUAGAAGAUUAUUGAUUAGGCAGGCGUUUAAACGGAAUUCUUUUUAUUCCUACACUGAUUUUUAAAGGCUGGUCCUGGAAUUUAAGGGACUUAACAAAUGGUGAAUAACAAUGUUCAACGAACGGUAUGUAGUAAUUAGGCGUUUUAUAGAAGAUUAUUGAUUAGGCAGGCGCUUAAACGGAAUUAUUUUUAUUCCCACACUGAUUUUUAAAGGCUGGUCCUGGAAUUUAAGGGGCGUAACAAAUGGUGACUAACAAUGUUCAACGAACCGUUACACAGUAGUUGGACGUUUUAUAAGGGAUUAUUGAUUAGGCGGGCGCAUAAACAGACUUUUUUUUAUGCCCACACUGAUUUUUAAAGGCCGGUCCUAGAAUUUAAGGGACUUAACAAAUGGUGAAUAACAAUGUUCAACGAACGGUAUUCAGUAAUUAGGCGUUUUAUAAAAGAUUAUUGGUUAGGCAGGCACUUAAACGGAAUUUUUUUUUAUUCCCACACUGAUUUUUAAAGGCCGGUCCUAGAAUUUAAGGGACUUAACAAAUGGUGAAUAACAAUGUUCAACGAACGGUAUUCAGUAAUUAGGCGUUUUAUAGAAGAUUAUUGAUUAGGAAGGCGCUUAAACGGAAUUUUUUUUAUUCCCACACUGAUUUUUAAAGGCUGGUCCUGGAAUUUAAGGGACUUAACAAAUGGUGAAUAACAAUGUUCAACGAACGGUAUGUAGUAAUAAGCGUUUUAUAGAAGAUUAUUGAUUAGGCAGGCGCUUAAACGGAAUUCUUUUUAUUCCCACACUGAUUUUUAAAGGCUGGUCCUGGAAUUUAAGGGGCGUAACAAAUGGUGACUAACAAUGUUCAACGAACCGUUACACAGUAGUUGGACGUUUUAUAAGGGAUUAUUGAUUAGGCGGGCGCAUAAACAGACUUUUUUUUAUGCCCACACUGAUUUUUAAAGGCCGGUCCUAGAAUUUAAGGGACUUAACAAAUGGUGAAUAACAAUGUUCAACGAACGGUAUUCAGUAAUUAGGCGUUUUAUAAAAGAUUAUUGGUUAGGCAGGCACUUAAACGGAAUUUUUUUUUAUUCCCACACUGAUUUUUAAAGGCCGGUCCUAGAAUUUAAGGGACUUAACAAAUGGUGAAUAACAAUGUUCAACGAACGGUAUUCAGUAAUUAGGCGUUUUAUAGAAGAUUAUUGAUUAGGAAGGCGCUUAAACGGAAUUUUUUUUAUUCCCACACUGAUUUUUAAAGGCUGGUCCUGGAAUUUAAGGGACUUAACAAAUGGUGAAUAACAAUGUUCAACGAACGGUAUGUAGUAAUUAGGCGUUUUAUAGAAGAUUAUUGAUUAGGCAGGCGCUUAAACGGAAUUCUUUUUAUUCCCACACUGAUUUUUAAAGGCUGGUCCUGGAAUUUAAGGGGCGUAACAAAUGGUGACUAACAAUGUUCAACGAACCGUUACACAGUAGUUGGACGUUUUAUAGGGGAUUAUUGAUUAGGCGGGCGCUUAAACGGAUUUUUUUUAUGCCCACACUGAUUUUUAAAAUAAAUCGUUUUGUCUAGGUUCAAUCUUUGGCCUAAACGGGCAAGUAAACGAAGUCUAGACCAAUUUUUAGAAUACUAAUAAAUAAUGUGUAUAUAUAAGCCGAGACGAGGCGAAUGUUUCAUCUCAUUAUGUCCAAAGCUGGCUUUGCCUUGUAUAACAGUGACAAUUACGGAUUAGAACUAAAUGAUCAAUAUAUAUAUUUCUUAAAUAAUUUGGGGGUAAAUGAUGUAUACAUAUUAACCAUAUGGGGCCUAGGCGGAUGUUUCAUCUGGCUAUGACCAAAACCGGCUCUGCCUUGUGUAUUUAGUUGUGUUGUAUGUUUAUUUUUUUUAUAUGGUUAUCUCAGGAUGGUGAUGGUUAAGGCGGUGAAGUGGGUGGAUGAAGUGAUAUCGGAUGCUCCUUACGCCAUCACUGAGGAUUUCAUGAAGAGGUUGUUUGAUGAGUACCAGAUUGAUUACAUCAUCCAUGGGGAUGAUCCUUGCGUUCUUCCUGAUGGAACUGAUGCUUAUGCAUUGGCUAAGAAGGCUGGGAGGUACAAGCAGAUUAAGCGUACUGAAGGAGUUUCCAGCACUGAUAUCGUUGGUAAACUUACAUCUGAUUCAUUUUAGCUCGUAUCAACUAUAUUUGUUAAUCAACUCAGGAUGCUUAGAGGAAAGUGUCUUUCUUUUCAUGUUAAGGGGAGAUACGAACUGCAUCAUGUUUAUGUAAUCAAGUGCCAUGAUAGCUUAGAUCUUGUGUAAUUACAUUCAAGUUUAUAAAUCGUUGCAGGUCGCAUGCUGCUCUGUGUAAGAGAAAGAUCGAACAGUCAUAGUCAUUCGUCACUGCAAAGGCAGUUUAGCCAUGGACAUAAUAGCCCAAAGUUUGAUGACGGAGGUUCCUCAGCUGGUACUCGCGUCUCACAUUUUCUUCCUACUUCCCGCAGGAUCGUUCAGUUCUCCAAUGGCAAGGUACGAGAGUCUUGAAGAGUGUCCUCUUCUCAAGUUUAGCUAUUGCAUAUUUGGAAUUGUGUAUAUCUCUAUUUAUUUCUUGAUGAUCUAGUUGGUUGAACUGGUAGGUACAUGACUCUUAAUUUCUAAUAGCUAUGCAAUUUCUGACUCUCUUUUUUAGUUGUUAUAAUUAUUAAAGAGAACGGGUGACAGCUUUCAUCAUCGGUAUGGGAACACUGUCUGGUUGAGUCUUGGUUCUUACCUUCUGAAACAUAAAUAGUUCACCCUGUCUAUGACCAUUUCACCGAUUACCGGAUACUUUUUGUGUGUUUAUCUGUACUUUACCUAUUGAGUGACAGAAAGUUGCUUCGCAUCUCGUUUUAUUGCCUAUGUUAAUUCAUGCACGCUAGAUUAAACUUAAGAUUAUACUCUUUGGUUGAUUCACUUUUCUCCUCCUCAUUUUUUUUAUCUGGGGUGGAUUAUGAGUACAUGAUUAUGGUGACAGGGGCCAGGACCUGAUGCACGCAUAAUUUACAUUGAUGGUGCUUUUGAUCUUUUCCAUGCUGGCCAUGUUGAGGUAUUUUUAAGUUCAUUUGGUUCACAGACAAAUUAAUCUUAUAUGUUUGUCGACUAGUCCAACUAGAAUUUCCUAAUUAUUAUUGAGCAACCAUCCAGUUUUAUUAUGCCAAUGUUGUUGAUUCUUUUCUCUUGAUUAUUCAAAUUCAUACAGAUUCUCAGGCGUGCUCGAGAGCUUGGAGACUUUCUUCUUGUUGGGAUACAUAAUGACCAGACUGUCAGGUUCAAGAAAGCUCAACUUUGGCAGUUUGCUUUAUAGUUAUUUUUCUCAGUUCUUAUUUCGUUAUUCUAGGCAUAAAUAUAUACUUCUUAUUCUCAUUCUGGUUUAGAUGUGCAUAAUUGCAUUUCUGCUUAAAUCGUCUGACCAAAAAGUGCAUGUUAUACGUUGAUGAGCAGCGCUAGAAGUGGAGCGCGUCACCCAAUCAUGAAUCUCCAUGAAAGAAGCUUAAGUGUUCUGGCAUGCCGCUAUGUAGAUGAGGUGAUCAUUGGUGCCCCAUCGGAAGUUUCAAAAGAUACGGUGAGCUCCUCUGGUAUUUACUUAAUAAUUACCCAAAUGGCCUUCACGAAAAGCUAUUUUGACAAUGAUUUUGGAUGAUGCAGAUCACAACAUUUGACAUUUCGUUGGUGGUUCAUGGGACAGUAGCCGAGAGCGAUGAUUUUCAAAAGGUAAAACAAGAUUCAGAUAGAUUUUAUAUAACAAGGUAGUAUACAAAGAGUUUAUUUCUCAGAAUGUGGUUGUUGAUGAUCUGACACAGGAGGAAGGUAAUCCGUAUGCUGUACCAAUAAGCAUGGGCAUAUUCCAAAUCCUGGAAAGCCCUCUUGACAUCACAACCUCCACCAUAAUCAAGAGGAUUGUGAACAACCAUGAAGCUUAUCAGGCAAGUUGCUUUUCUUCUACCUCAUUCAUCUUCUUAUUGCAUCACUCUGACCAAUCUCUAACUUCAAAAUCGUUCUGCAAUUUUUUUAGAAACGUAACUUGAAAAAGGAAGCUAGUGAGAAGAAGUACUACGAGCAGAAGGCUUUUGUGACUGGCGACUGAUAGAAUCUUGAAAGCUUUGUAAGACCAGACCAUCUUUGGGAUGUGAAUCUGUUUCUCCUUAUCUUUAUAUCUCCGUAGUAGUCCGUACUGGCUAUAGUAGGAUGUUUCUGCAUCAGACUCAAAUGCUACAUAGUAUUACAUUUUGUUCUCUAGUUUUUAAACAUAAAAAGGGCAUUGAUGAUUUUAGCACCAAAUGCUUCUUUUAUUUUCUUCACGUUUGGGAUGUUUCAUCUUACUUUCUACUUUCGUUUUUGCGUACUGCAAAUAUGUUAGGAUUGUAUAUGUUCACUAUCUGAAGAUAAAACGAUGAACUUCAUUAGAAAUGGUAAGUGCGGACGGUUGCGUUUCAGACAAUGGUGAAACAGCUAAAUUCUUGUCUCGUUGAAGGUGAAAUCAGAGAGAGCAUUACAGUUUCGAAUCACAAAUGCAAUGAUAAAUUAGGAGAGGUCCCAAACAGGACCAAUCUCGCACCCAUUCGCAGGAGUUUGGUGGUGCAAAUCAGGACAAGGGCUUGCUGGUCCCAUUAAUAGCCGGGACAAGGCCUCUUGUGGCCUUCACGUAUGAAAGGUAUUCACUAUAAUGCAUGCUGAAUAAUGUGCUCUGGUAUCUUGUUAGCUGGAUUCGCCUACGCACUGCCUCAGUUAUUUCACCAUUGUAUCCGGCUUUACGCACCAGAGAAUCUAUUGCCUCUAUCUUUGUCCAGCCUGCCAAAAACUAGUCAUGUAAGCUUUGAUAUAUAUAGUAGUAUGAUAUGAGAUUCAAGUUUUGCUCCAAACAAUGCGAAUGAAUCCUCAGGUCUAGUCAAACAUACAAAACACCUAAGCAAAACUGGUACCUUCAUGAGCUGGCACCUCAGGGAGAUAUGUGGCGUUUCGCUUUAUGUUAGUCACAGGUUCAAUGAACUCAAUGAUUAUUCCAUGCGUUCCCACCUUCAUAGUCAAAUCAGACAAAACUAAGCGAGUGCAAGUAUCACAUGAGGGAUGUGACAGGAGAAGGUUUAUCAGAUGUGUGGAAUGACUAGCAUGCUACUACUUGUUGGUGACCAUAUUCUUAAUUUAUGUUUAGAAACAGGAGACUAAGAUGAAGAGUGAAGACAGUACCUCCCAAUCAAGAUAAUCCUCUGCAUCUUCAUAAUCAGUCAAGACGGACACCGUGCAUUGCAGAAACGGCAGUUCUUUGGGUUGAAUUGGUGGGAACCUACGAUCCCUCAGGGCACUGUGAUAUUACAUAAAUCAAAAAGGUACAUUUAUAACUAUAUAUUGACAUAUAGUACAGAAAAAAAAAGAGAGGUAGAUUAAGCUAAUGGGCAAUAUCAAAUGCGUGAGGAGUAGUAAGUAAGUUACCUGGUCAAGGCAUAGUCCUUGAAGCCACUGAUCAAACGGCGUGCUUCAAGUGUACCAAUACAUCCACGCAGCCGAGGCUCCCCACCGUUCACUAUUUUCUUCCAGGUGACAAACAAUGGGCUACAAGGAAAAACAACCACUGGACUAUGAGUAAGAGAAGAUGACGUAAAACACUAAAUCAUCCAAUCAAACAGUGGACUACUUGCAUGUCAUUAACAUAACAAACACAACAGGAGUUUUAAUGAAACGUACUGAUUGGCGUCGUCAAAGGCGGGUGGAGGAGAGUCUUCGUUGUUGUAGUGAGAGACCAAAGUGUCGAAACAGUACACAGCCAUCUCUUUGUUCGCCGACGCCAUUGUGUGCUUUUGAAUAAAACAAAAAAACAAAAACAAAAUUAGCAAGUAGUAUAGUGUGAACCUGAAAUUAUCCAAAAUCCAACUUAUAAAAAUACAACUACUAAGCAUGUGACUGGAUUUAUAUAAAUGGAUUAUUUUGCCCCACAAAAAGAGAUUUAGUUUAUGCUUAAACACAACCCAAAAACGAAUCACACAAAGAAUAUAGCAUUCUCAGAGAUAAACUAAUAAAAUAAUAUGAACACUGAAUAGUGAUGAUGAAAAUUGGAGAAGUAAAUUGAUCGUUUUUUUUCUAUAUAUAUUAAUAUAUAUAUAUGGGGAUUAAAAUCAAAAGCCACCACGAAAUCUAGAAGGAGCAUAGAGAGAGAUCUGUGAUAAGAAUUGAAAAGUUCAAACAGAUAGAGAAAUCAAUUGGGAGGAGCAUAAUAAGCGGAGAAAACCUGAGGAAAGCGCAAAAAGAAUCGAAGAUCGGUGGUGAGAUUGUUAAAAGUGUGUUUUAUGUUUCAGAAGCAAAGCUUUUCUUUUAAGACACUGACAAUUGUGUUUGGCUGGUGUGUCUUUUUCUUGAAGAGGACUUUAAUAACUAUUUUAUAUCAGACUUUCACACUUGGGCCCAUUAUCCGGACAUGAUACCUGGGCCCAAUAUCCAAACAUAACACUCGGGCCCAAGAAAUUUGUAUUUUUUUUUAUAAAAUUAAGAAGUUUCAUAUAUUAUGUUUAUAUAAAAUUAAGAAAUUUGUAUAUUAUGGUUAACGGUGAUGGUUCGCGUGAAAUCUUCCUCUCGGUGCUUGCGAUGAAUGGUGAUGGAUGAGAUCGAACAGUCUAUUGAUGCUUUCCGAAAUUGGGUUCACUUGAGUUGAAAACGUUUGUGGUGGUGAUGGUGUGGAGUCAGUGAGCUCCGGUGGAUCCGGGUGAAUCGACGGUUGGUUAUCCGAUGUUGUUUCGAAGCAAGGGCGACGUUGGAGCCGCAGCGUUUAUCCGCGCGGCGGUGGAGCCUCGUGUGUCCUAGGGUUUCGUAGUUGAACCUUAGACCUAAAAUUUUAUUGUUUUUUGGCCCGUUUUUUUAGGCUUCUGUAUGUUGUACUGUAAGUUUUUUUAGACCCGUUAAUCAAAUAUCUAUCGAGGGAAAAAAAAAUAUUAUGUUUAUAUAUUUAAAUGUACAUAAAAUAUAUGCUUUUUUUUCUUUUUGAUCAAAAAAUAUAUGCUUUCAAAAUAGAAAAAUCAAGUUUGGUUCUCCAAAAACCAAAAUGUUGAAAUUUCGAAUAUUAUAUUCUCUAUUUUUUAAUAUAUAUCCAUCCACAUUCAAAAUUUGGAGUUUCUCCAGUGCACAAAAAUCGAGAUAGGGAUACAAAAAAAAUCUAAAUUACCGCCAAAAUAACAUUUCUUUCCAAAACUGACACUCGCUCUCCUCCUUCAACACACACAAUCUCUCCUCGGGAUCUUCUUCACCCUUCAUCCUCUCUAGGGUUUCCCCCCCCCCCCAUCGUCACUACUCGUCGGCGCCGGCGGAAACAAAAAAAAGAAAGAAGAAAAUGUCUCUUUCUUCAUCCACCACUUGCACUUCCCUCCUCCAAGAACUACAGGUUCGAUUUUGAAUUCCCACGAUUCAAUUGAUCAGAUUCAAUUGCGUCUUGUUCUGUAGAAUUGAGCAAGAAAGAUUUGUUUUUUAUUUUAAUUUUAAUUUAUGCAGAUCAUAUGGGAUGAGAUUGGCGAAGGCUACAGCGAGAGAGACAAGAUGCUGCUUGAACUCGAGCAAGAGUGUCUCGACAUAUACAACAAGAAAGUUGACAAGACUCGCAAUCACAGAGCUGAGCUGCAACGAUCGUUAGCUCAGUCCGAAGCUGAGAUCGCCACCCUCGUGUCUGCGCUUGGUGAACAAGUGUCCUUCUCGAAGAAAGAAGGCUCUUUGAAGGAGCAGAUCUCUUCUGUGAAGCCUGUGUUGGAAGAACUGAUGGUGAAGAAGGAUAUGAGAUGGAAGGAAGUGUCUGAGAUAGUGACGCAAAUAGCUGAGAUCUCUUCUAACAUUGCGGGGAAUGAUUCUCCUGUUAGCUCUGGUUUUGAAGUUGAUGGAAGUGACUUGACGAAGAGGAAGUUGGAUGAGCUUAGAGCUCAUCUCCAGGAUCUUCGCAGUGAAAAGGUGUUCUUAUAGAGUUAUAUGUUAGAAAGAGUAUGAUGGUUAUAGGGCUGUUCGUUUGGUUGCCACAGGUACCGGCGGCAGCGGCAGCGUCAACGUUUUGACGCCGCGUCUGAACACCGCGUCCUGCGACUAACGCCGAUAAAACCUGCGGUCGCCAUAUAAUAUGCGGCAGCGUUGUCUGCGAAACGAACAACAACUGUCUUCAUUGACGCUGCCGCCGCCGCCGCCGCCGACGCCGAAACCUGCGGCAACCAAACGAACAGGGCUUAUGUGUGCUUAUCUUUUUUUUGAUUUUUUAUUUCAGGCUGUUCGGUUGCAGAAAGUGAACUCUUAUAUAAGUGCUGUCCAUGAGUUGUCAGAGAUUCUUUCGUUUGAUUUCUCCAAGGCGUUGAGUAAUGUUCAUAAAAGCCUUACCGGGGCUUCGAAAAGCAUUAGUAAUGAUACGCUUGCUAGAUUGACAGAGCUUGUAGAGUCUCUGAGGAAGGAGAGACGUCAGAGGCUGCUUAAGGUGAGCAAAGAAAGAAUACUUUCUCAACUGUUUGGAAAACUAGUAGGGAUUGAUACCUUUGAGAGAUUCUUGUUUAUUUCAGCUACAAGGUUUGGGAAGAAACAUGCAAGAGCUCUGGAGCCUGAUGGAAACACCUACGGAUGAGAGGAGAAGAUUUGACAAUUUGAGUAUCUUGCUUUCUGUUCAAGCUGAUGAUGCCUUGGGAAAAGGAUGCCUCGGUCUAGACAUUGUCCGAGAGGUAAUAUGAUCAUAUUCAUUUGUUCAUAUCAAACUUUUUUUUUAUAUCUUAACAUUUUGGUUAUAGGCUGAAGAUGAAGUGAACAGACUGAAUGCCCUGAAGUCCAGUAAGAUGAAGGAGUUGGUUCUGAAGAGGCAUUGUGAACUAGAAGAAAUCUGCAGAGAGGUUCAUAUGGAUUUCAAUAGCGAUGCUGGAAGACAGAGUCUUAUAGACGUCAUUGACUCUGGUACCAUACUAUUCCUCUCUUGUAGGCUGACUAAUUAAUUAAGUACAAAUUGUUUUCUGGCUAAUGUGAAAGUACGAUCUACAUAGCUCCGCAGUUAGAAUUAUAUAUUUCAUUGGGUGUGCAGUGACGAAGGUUUCCUUUGCAGGUGAUGCUGAUCUGUCGGGUAUUCUGGAAAGCCUAGAUGAGCAGAUCGAGAAGGCAAAAGAGGAAGCUUUAAGCAGGAAGGAAAUUUUAGACAAAGUUGAAAAGUUGAAGCACGCAAAGGAAGAAGAAAAAUGGCUUGAUGAUUAUGAAAAGGUGACUACCACAUCGCGUUUUAAUAGCUAUAUUUUAUGAAAAUAGGUAAAGAGAAGAUCUAUGGACCUUGGAACUGAUUGUGAGCAUUUAUCUGAUGAAAAUAUAUUGUCUUAAGAUUAACUGCAGAGAUUUUUUUUGUAUAGUUUUGGUGUUAGAGAGUAUCUCAUUUUGUGUGAGUUUCCUAAAAAACUAGCUUUGUAUACGUAUGUGAUAUUGAUUGUUUCUUGUAAUUUGCUUUCUUAACAGGAUGAGAAUCGCUUUAGUGCUGUAAGAGGAGCGCACAAAAAUUUAAAACGAGCCGAGAAAGCUAGGAGCCUUAUCAGCAAAAUUCCUGGUGAGUCUUUUAUACAUGCAUUACUUGAUUAAUGCAAGCAAGUCUGUCUUCUAUAUGUUGCUUUCUGGAAUUGGUAACUAGAUAUCCCUUUGGAUUAGUUUUCAAUAAUCUUUUUUCUUUUCAUUCCAAGAUUCUUAUUACUAACAGCUCAACUAGAGGAUAGUUCCUUCCAGCCGAAACUCAAAAACUCAUUGUUAGAUGUUUGGAGUUUCUGAUGUUUUUCUUUGCACUUGUUAGGGUAAAUAGUGUUUGAUUCAAAUCAAGUGAAGUUUCUGUAGCCUUUUUGUGAUGCUUAUUCAUCCCUCCAAAAGUAGUUGAUGUUUGUCUGUUGUAAAACUGAUCGGUCUUGAGAUGACAUUAACCUCUUAUGUUUAUUUUAUAAGCAAUGAUCGAUGGUCUGACGACCAAAGUGAAGGCAUGGGAGAAAGAAAGAGGAGUCCCCUUCCUAUGUGAUAAGGUAACUAACUGUACAUUUACUCAACUGUCCUUUUUAUGGUUUGAUUCAGCUUAUGUGAGUUAUGACUUUUUCGAUCCAGCACCCGUUGUUACAAACACUGGAAGAAGAAAUUGUUUUGCGUGCUCAAAGAGAGGAGGAAAAGCGUCAGUUCCGAGUACGUGUGUUAGUCAAAACAAGGAUUUGUAGACAAUCACUGUGGUCUUGAACUAACACUUUGUUUGUUUUGCGUAAACAGGAGCAGAAAAGACUACAAGGUCAGCUUGCUACAGAGAAAGAAGCAAAGUAUGGUUCAAAAUCUGCAAAGAAGAAGCCAUUGGGACAGAGUCUUCUUAACACAGACAAUGUGACAAAAACACCACUUGGUCGUAGGGUUGGGACUACACCUGGCCGUUCUGGUGUCAAAGAUUAUAGAGAAAGCGGCAGAGGCAAUGCCACCGCGAUACCGCUGAACUAUGUCGCUCUUCAGAAAGAAGAUUGAUUGAUAGAUACUAGAAAGGGGGUUAGGAUUUUACAUAAAGCUACAUUACAUGUUGAUGAGCUGAUAGACUUCUUAUGUGAUUCUUUUUGGUUUCUUGUUCCUUUUGCUAAUGAUGUUUUCAGAUUUUAGUUGGUAUGAAUAUGAAGUGUCACAUUUUUACUCAUAAGCAGUUGAUAUCCAAGCCAAAGUUUAAAACAGGCUUUGCUUCUGGAAAUGAUGUCAAUUCAAAAACCAUCUGUCACAAUGCAUAAGGCUUACAACUAAUAAGCUCAGGGUUCUCACUUUCAGAAGAAAAGUUUUUUCAAGUAGUGUUUCGGGUGAAAAAAAGCUUGUCACAUCUCCCCACACUCUGUAAUAACAACGGCAAGCUUAGGCCUGUUGUUUGGUCCAACAGCAACGUUCUCAAUCUUCCGCACCACCAGCAAACCAUCUCCAAGCACUCUCUGUACAUCAAAAAGAAGAAUUUGUAAUGAGUCAUAAUAAAACUAUUACCCAACAUAUGUGCACAAGAGUUCAUGAUUCAGUGCCUUCUGCCUCAACUAUCUAUGGCUUUUAAGUUUCUAUUAUUAACCACAACGAGAGUUCAAAUAAUCGAUGGAAGAAAACUGAAAAGCUAGGGUGGUUCAAUCAUAUGCAAUACGUGUGUAUGUGAAAAGAGGACAUACAUUACCUUAAAGACAACAUGCUUGUUGUCAAGCCAGCCGCAUUUUGUACAACUGAUGAAGAACUGCAAUGCAAAAAAAACACAAAGGUUGUCAAAGCGUCUGACGACCGACCAUACGGUGGUGGAGAUAGAUGCGGAGAUCUCUUAGUUUAGACGUGUAUUCAAUGGUUGUUUCAGACAUUUUGAACACUGUUUAUAACUAUGUGAAUCUCCUUCAGUUCUUGCAGUGUAUAUGUUAAGGCAAGCUUAAGAAACUUGAACAUCCUGUAUAAUUAUGUUCAUCUUGUUCUGAAUAGGAAAAAUGCAGAAGCCAUUGCCUGAGUUGCUGAAAGAGUUUGGUUUACCUGUUGGGAUCUUUCCACAGGACGCCACAAACUAUGAGUUCAACGAAGAGACGGGUAAGUUGACUGUCUUCAUCCCUGAGGCCUGCGAGGUUGGGUACAGAGACUCAUCGGUUUUCAACUAAGGUAACUGGUUACCUUGAGAAAGAGAAGCUAGCUGAAGUGGAAGGUUUGAUAACAAAGGUGAUGAUUUGGGUGAAAGUGAGUUGUAUCUCAGCAGAUGCAUCAAAGGUAUAUUUCACCGCUGGGAUGAAGAAAAGCAGGAGCAAGAGAUGCUUAUGAGGUUAUACGGCCUGGUGUUAGCUGUUGAUAAAUUCUAACUUAUAGAUUCUCGAUAUAUUACAUUCAUGUUGCAAUCUAAAAGAGAAAACACACACUAAAACUACCAAGUGAAAAGUUACAACUUGAAACCAUGAGUUUUUUUCUCAUAAAUUACUCAUUCUGUUUAGUUAUGGAGUAUCAGACAAGACAAUGGUUCUCUUCGGAUCAGCUAGCUGAUGCCAUCAAUCAACUCAAAUUCAUAUCGUUCUUGAUCUUGUGUGGCUGUCUGGGAUUGAAGGAACACUCUUUGCGAUGUUUAAGGAACAUUCUUUGCGCUGUUUAUGUCGAUAAACAACCUUGGGAACACAGUUUGGUUAUUCAUGGAAGAAUGAUUGGCUUCACUACUGGGAAUUUUGUCUGAGAAUAUGUUUGUGGGCUUAGCCAUUCAAGGAUUCUGCACGUAUACACCUGCAUUGAUUAUUUUCUAAGGAAGCUACAAGAGUGUCAGCUUCAUAGGCUAGAGAGAAAAGAUAGUUUGUCUUUGUUUGUUAUUGCUAUUUUUCUCUGUCUCUUUGAGCAAGAUUUCAGUUUCUUAAAAAAGUCUUUCACCACUACUUGUUUAACAUCUUAUUAAGAUUUAGUAAACAUGAUGAUGUUUUUUUCAGCUAUGAGUGAUUACAUCACUUAAUUACAGAUAUACUCAACUCAUGGAGAAAAUAUUUGACCAAGAUAACGUCCAUGUUUGUUAGGCUAUUGCCUUAAAUAGACAUCUCUCAGCUUUCCUGAAACUUUGUGGAGUUCUAAAUAUGGAUGCUUAGCUCUCAGUUCAAUAACUCACCAAUGAAAUAUGAUGUUCUCCUUACAAUAGACAACUUCCAAGGCACUGUAAUGGACUGAUUAGUUAUUUUGAGCAAGCAACAAACUUUUGCUUGAAUGAGGGUCUGUAAUGUAUGUCUUCUGACCUAUGACUUAAUGUCUACAAAUUCAAUAGAUAUGUAUGGUGGACAUCCACAAUCCUACUAUAUAAAAGAAGCUAAAUCCUAGCUUUUCUAAAAGUGCCACAUAGGCAAAAUAUUCUCCACCUAUCAAACUGCCAUGUCACUAGCGGAUUGGGCUUCGAAUUAAAAUUGCAAUAAAGAUUUGGGCUUCGUUGUCGCUUACAAAAAUCUCGGUUUGUCUACGAUUUGCCGGUGGGCCAGGUAAAAAAAAAAUCUCGCAGCCCAGUCCAUUAACCCAAAUCACCGUCUUCGUAAAACUAUUUCCUUCGGACAAUUACUUAUUUCAACUGUCAAACUAUUUUCUUUUGAAUUUUCUAUUUUUUCAGACAAUUUAUUAUUUCUACUGUUUCCUUUAACAAUGUGUGAACCGGCUAAGUUUUCUUUCAUCUUAAAAUUGUCCGUCCAAAAUAACACAACCCCCUCAUUUCACACACAAUCACUAUAAAUUUCUAAAAAAAAACUAAAUUCUACUAUCAAAUGCACCCAACAAAUUUACAACUACCAGUUCCAGUUACUUAUGCAUCGACCUCAUUCAAAUAAUUAUGGGCCGGCCUACUUUAAUUUUUAAAUAACCAUGUUAAUAA